ACCACAAAAGUAUGUGUUCUUCUCAGUUUUUACUAUUUCUCAAGAUCUUAUAAUAGUGGUCUUAUACAAUAUUUGUCCUUUUGCUUCUGACUAAUUUCGCUCAGCAUAAUACCUUCCAGGUUCCUCCAUGUUAUGAAAUGUUUCACAGAUUCGUCACUGUUCUUUAUCGAUGCGUAGUAUUCCAUUGUGUGAAUAUACCACAAUUUAUCUAACCAUUCAUCCGUUGCUGGACACCUUGGUUGCUUCCAGCUUUUUGCUAUUGUAAACAGAGCUGCAAUAAACAUGGGUGUGCAUAUAUCUGUUUGUGUGAAGGCUCUUGUAUCUCUAGGGUAUAUUCCGAGGAGUGGGAUUUCUGGGUUGUAUGGUAGUUCUAUUUCUAACUGUUUAAGAUAACACCAGAUAGAUUUCCAAAGUGGUUGUACCAUUUUACAUUCCCACCAGCAGUGUAUAAGAGUUCCAAUUUCUCCACAGCCUCUCCAACAUUUAUUAUUUUGUGUUUUUUGGAUUAAUGCCAGCCUUGUUGGAGUGAGAUGGAAUCUCAUCGUAGUUUUAAUCUGCAUUUCUCUAAUGGCUAAUGAUCGAGAGCAUUUUCUCAUGUAUCUGUUAGCUGCUUGAAUAUCUUCUUUAGUGAAGUGUGUGUUCAUUUCCUUUGCCCACUUCUUGAUUGGGUUGUUUGUCUUUUUGUGGUUGAGUUUUGACAGAAUUCAUGUAGAUUUUAGAGAUCAGGCGCUGGUCGGAGAUGUCAUAGCUGAAAAUUCUUUCCCAGUGAGCCCAACUCUUGAUGACCUCAUGUGUAUCAGAGUAGAACUGUGUUCCACAGAGUUUUCAAUGGCUGAUUUUUUAGCAGUAAAUCACCAGGCCUUUCUUCUGAGGUGCCUUUGGGUGAACUCAAACCUCCAACCUUCCGGUUAGCAGCCAGGCACAUUGUUUGCCCCCAAUCAAAGACUCUACCUGGCACACAGGUAAUGUUUAAAAAUGUUAGCUGGUGUCAUGAAUUGAAUUGUGUCCCCUCAAAAUAUGUAUAUCGAUUUGGCUAGGCCACAAUUCCCAGUAUCGUGUGAUUUUCCACCAUAUUGUCAUCUGAUGUGAUUUUCCUAUGUGUUGUAAAUCCUACCACUAUGACGUAAUGAAAUGGAUUAGUGGCAGUUAUAUUGAUGAGAUCUAGAAGAUUAGAGACAUGGCGACCUCAUACCACCAGGAACUCAGUGACGGAAGCAGAGCCUGUCCUUUGGACCUGAGGUUCCUGUGCUGAGAUGCUCCCAGACCAAGGGAAAGCUGAUUCAUCACAAGGACCUUCCUCCAAUGCCCACAGAGAGAAAAAACCUUCCCCUGGAGCCAGCACCCUGAAUUCAGACUUCUAGCCUACUAGACUGUGAGAGAAUAAGUUUCUCUUUGUUAAAGCCAUCCACUUGUGGUAUUUCUGUUACAGCAGCACUAGAUGACUAAGAGAGCUGUUAUCUUCUUGAUAUCUAUCAUCUUUACCAUCAUCAUCAUCAGCUGUGAAUUUUUUUCUUCUCACUCUGGAUUUUAGGAAUGACUCCGUCAGUGGCUUGAUCACAGAACUCAUGAGGCCAGAAACUUGAUUCUUGGGGCCAAACAGUCCUCUUUGGUAUGUGGGAGAAAUCAAGGCCCAGAUAAGGGCAGGGACUUGCUUAAGGCUUCCCAGCUAGCCAGUGGCAGAAAAAAUAGUUUCCUGAAGCAAAGUGAGAGGUGAUUAUCAGUCCCACUUGACCCUUCUAGCAAUGUGAAGUCAAAGGUCAGAAGCAGGGCCAGUGGGUGGGUGGGGCUGGCUUCCUAGCACUGUCUCACCCAGAUUCUGGGAAAACCAUAGCGUUACCUCUGGGAACACAGCAUAGGUGGGAUGGCCAGGUUUUCAAACCCAGACAUUCGGAUGUGCAGUCUGACUAGGGGCUUCUGUGAUACACCUGGGUGUGAGGCACAGUUUGGAGGGGUGCAGCUUAGAUUGGGCAGUAGUUGUAGACUUUCUGGCAUAUGUUUGGAUAGUUUAGGGACACAGGGGCAGGACAUCAGAGAAGUUGAGUGGUCCAGUGGAGGAAGACAGCAAGGACUCGGCAAUCACAUUUGGGUUCAAAUCCCAAUUCUUCCUCCAACUUCCUGUGGGAGCCCUGAGCCUCAGUUUCUUCACUGGAGAUGGGGUUGUUAUAAGGGUUAACUAAACUAGCAGCUGAGCAGCUAGAAAGUUGCUGGCCCAAAAUCUGUCUUAAUCAUAUUUAAAAAUUAGGAGAUUUCACCCACAAACCUAGAUUGCCUCUAUCACUUGAAAAAUCAGAAAUCUGAUCCAGCCGCUUGGAACUGCUUUCUCAAGUGGCCAAGCUGGGGCUCCCUGGUUCCCUGGAACUGGGUGGUAGAGCAUGUGCUCUUUGAUCUGUCAAUCCACCCAGUGCCUGCAGGCAGGUCAGAGGUCAGCUGGUAGAUCCCCAACAAGCUUGCCUCAGGCUUCUAAGGCGGCUGCGGCUGCCCCAGCUCUGUGAGGAGACAUCCCUGGAAAGGAAAAUUCCCCACCCCUGGAGAUGUUUGCUCAGGGCUGCUACAGGGUGAAUAUUUCCUUUCAUAACAUUACUAAUCAUUUUCCCAUCCGGACAGGAGCGGAGGGAGGCUCUCCCUAGCUCCACAUGGCUGCGGCGCCCUGUGGCCUCCUCAUCAAUGUCACACGGUAAUUAAUAAUAGAUCCCCCUGCUCCAGCAGCAUUGCUCCCAACUCUCCACCCCCUCUGACAAGCUGAUAAGGCCAAAAUCAAAGGCCUGAAAUUGGAGCCGAAAACUUUUCCUCCAAUGCCUUGUGUGAGAGAAUGAAGAGGGAUGGCAGCCCUGCCGGGGCCCACCACCCCCUGGAUGAUCAGCCCUGUUUCGGGGGUGGAUGGGAUGACAGGCUUGGGGAAGCCCGUUCAUUUGCAUCAUUGACUCUCACACCCCAGUGUGCCUCGCAGUGGGACUCUGUAGGUCUGCAGUAGGGCUCAGAAGAGCAACAUUUCUAAUAAGGUCCCAAGUGAUGCUGAUGCCGCUGAUCCAGGGACCACACUUUGAGAACAACUGAUUUAUAUAACUAGUAACUUACUUGGUGCCAGGCACUGAAAAUAUGGCAAUGAAUCAGGUGAAUGUAGCCUGUCGUGAAUUGAAUUGUGCCUCCCUAAAAUAUUUGUUAACUUGACUAGGUCAUGGUUCCCAGUAUUGCAUGAUUGUGUACUAUUUUGCCAUCUGAUGUGAUUUCCCUAUGUAUUGGAAAUCCUAUCGCUAUGAUGUAAUGAGAUGGAUUAGUGGCAGCUACACUGAUGAGAUCUGCAAGAUUAGAUAGUGUCUUAAGCCAAUCUCUUUUGAGAUACAAAAGAGAGAAGCGAGCAGAGAGACAUAGGGACCUCAUACCACCAAGAAAGCAGCGCCAGGAGCAGAGCGCAUCCUUUCGACCUGAGAUUCCUGUGCUGAGAUGCUCCCAGACCAAGGAAGACUGAUGACAAGGACCUUCCUCCAGAGCUGAUUGGGCGGGAGGGCUUUCCCCUGAGGCUGGCACCCUGAAUUCAGACUUCUGGCUUACUGGACUGUGAGAGAAUAAGCUUCUCUUUGUUGGAGCCAUCCACCGUUGUAGCAGCACUAGAUGACUAAGACCUAGCCCCUGCCCUCUCAUCUGAUGGAAUCAACCUGGGGCAUCACGUGACAGGUACAGAAGUAGACUCUAAAAUCUGUCAGGCCUGACUCCAGACCUGGCUGUGCUGGUUCUGCUCUCUGACCCCGGGCAGCGUGCCUGACUUCUUACAGCCUCUGUCUCUGCAGCUGUCUAAUGGGGAUAAUUAUGUUCCCCGCCUCAGAUAGUUGAUGUGACUGUUAAAAUAUGAAAAGGAACGUAAAAAGACAUGCUGAGGAAUGUUAGCUGUAACGACGCGUCAUUAAUAAUUACGCUAUUGUUGUAUCAUUGUCCGAGUCCGUGUAACUAGGUCCUAGGGGAGUUGAGAUGCAGGUAUUCAUUCAUCAAUUCGUUUGACAUAUAUGUCUUGAAAACCAAGUUUGUGCUCAGUGUUAGAAAUACAGCAGUGAACCCCAAAGCUAAAAUCCCUGCUUUGAUAGAGCACACAUUCUAGUCAAUAAGCAAAUAAUAUAUGUUCAGUUAGAGAGGUGAUAAACCAAAAUAAAUAAACAAAUAAAUAAAAACCAGUUGCCGUUGAGGAGAUUUUAGCUCAUGGCAACCCCAUAUGUCUCAGAGUAGAGCUGUGCUCCAUAUUUUCAAGGCUGUGAUUUUUGAAGGUAGAUCACCAGGCCUUUCUUCCGAGGUACCUUAAAAUCAAAAAGCAAACUAGUUGCUGUUGAGUCGAUUCCUACACAAAGCGAACCUGUAGGACAAAGUAGAACUGCCCCCAUAGGGUUUCCAAGGAACGACUGGUGGAUUUGUAUUUCAGCCAUUUUGGUUAGCAGCCGCAUUCUCAAUCACUUCCCCACCAGGACUCCUCCGAGGCACCCUUGAUGUGUACCUUUCAGUUAGUAUAGGGUCUUAGCCAUUUGUACCACCCAGGGACCAAGGCAGAUGAUGAGUGCUAUCAACAGAAACUAAGCAGGGGUGGAAUAGAUGUUGGGGUUGGAGUGGUGGGGGUGCUUUGCUAGGUGGGGGGGGAUCAUCCUAGGCCCCUCUGAUACAGUGACCUUAAAACAGAGAGCUGACUGGGCAGUUACAACGAGCCAGUGGGGUGUUCCGGGCAGAGGGCACAGCAAAUGCAAAGGCCAGGUGGGGACCAAGGCCUGCCUGGGAUUCACAUGAUAGCACCUGGAUGUCUCACACAUUGUGUCCAGGGGUUCCUGACACUAGUGCUUUGUGGGCUUUUGGCAGCUGGCAUCUUCCCUCUUCCUCUCGCUUCCCCCCCUCCACCAAGGACUGACUCUGAGCACCCCCAGAAGCACUUCGCCCUUGUAUGCCAGGGCUACCGGGCCAGGUUGCAAGCACCACUGGCUUUAGAGUUGGUUGCUCCCCCUGUGACCUUGCCCAGGUUACUCCCCUCUCUGCACUCCACUUGGCUCACCUGUCAAGUGGGGACGCAGCACUGGGUGGUGGUGAGGUCAUGAAGGCUGUGAAAAUGCUCUGCAUGCCAGAUGCUUAGUAGGUGCUCAGUGAAGGCUGCUCAUCACUAUGUUUCCUCUCGCUCCUCCCUUCCCCUCUCAGCGAGACCCAGGAAUCCAGGUGGGUGCUCAGACCCAGAAUCCUUGCUCCACUAGAGAGUAUAUUCAUUUGCAUAGAUUUGCAUAAGGCCUGGCAUGGUGUGUACCACUUCUUGCCUUUCAUUCCUGUGAGCUCACGUCACUGUUUAAAAAUAGGGUGUUGAUCUUCCCCUUUUUCUACCACUCCCUUUGCUUCUUGACAGAAUUUCAAGCUAUUAAUCAAAUGUGCCGGGUUUGGAAGCAGUUUUUAUUGUGGCCUCGUGCAGAAGGGGGACACCUUCUCUCAGCAGCACUUGAUGACCUGCUUUACUGGAGGGGAGAUGACCGCAAGGAGCUCACACAGGGGAGGGUCCUGGAAGCUUUCAAAAGGAAAGUCAAUUUUAUUUUUUCUGCUUAUAAAAGUAGUACAUAUAGACAGUGCAAAAAUGUGGAACAGCAGGGAAAAUCCCCCAAAAAGUUCCUGUGAUGACUCCAACCAGGCCCAAUUGCUCUUAACAUGUUAGCAUAAUCCUUUCCCAGUUUUUUUCCCCCUGAAAUUUUGUAUAAUUUAGGUCAUACCAUAUGUAUAUUUAUAAAAUGCAGAAGCUGGCUUUCUCAUAAGCAUAUUUUGAAUAUUCCCUGUGUAAUUACUAACUUUCUUAGCAUCGUUUUUCAUGGCCAUGUAAUAUUCCAUUUGAGCAGAGAGUUUCUUACCCCUUCUCCUGUAUUAGGACAUUUAGAUUUGUCUAUCUUUGUUUGGUUGUUUGCUGUAGUAUGUAUGGCUGUGAUGAAAAUGUUUAUCUUCCUGGAUUUUUCAUCCCAUAUUUUGGGUUAUUUUCUCAGGAGAGAUCCCACAAGUCUGACAACUGGGCUGGAAGGUGGAGAUAAGUUUAAGGCUGUAGAUAGAUUUUGCUGAACCCCAACCAGUACCUGGAUUUAAGAAUGUGGUUUUUUUGUUGACAUCACUACAAAAAGAAAAGAAAAAAAGCCAAACCCAUUGCCGUGGAGCUGAUUCGGACUCAUGGUGACUUUCUAGGACAGAGUAGAACCACCUCAAAGGGUUCCAAAGGCUGUAAAUCUUCACAGAAGUAGACUGCCACGUCUCUCUCCCACAGAGUAGCUGAUGGGUUUGAACCACUGACUUUUUGGUUAGCAGCCGAGUGGUUAACCACAACGCCAGGGCUACUUGACGUCACUAUAAGCCUCUGAAAUAAGUCUCAAAACAAUCCUGGGAUGCUCUGUGGUGGGAGUAGACGAGUCAUUGUCUCCCAUGGCUUGCUGCUCCAAGGCUCCUGGCAUCCUACUCCGUGCAGGGAACACUCAACCCUUCACCUUCACUGGGGUAGAGGCAAAGCUUGGGGAUGGUCUGCUUUCCCUCAAAUAUCCUUGGGCUAGAAUAUGUUUAACAAAGCAUCUGGGAGUCAAGGAAACUUGAGCUGUGUCUCUGAAACUGUGCCUCUGUGCUCUCACAAGUGCUAGUUUGCAAACAAAUGGCUUGGCUUUAUGUCAGUUAGAAAUGCCUUUGGCUUAAAUACGCAUUUUAUUUUUUUUAAGACAUCCAAGGAUAGCAGUCCAAGAUAUAUGCGGCUGUCCAACUACCAUCUAGGCCUCAGCCUCUAUCUUUCUCUUCUGCCAUCUCUGGCAAGGUGGCAUUUGUUUCUAUACUUAUUGCCUCAUGGUCCCAAGAUGGCUGCCAUACCUCCAGAUGUCAAACCCUCAUCCCAGGUAGAAAGAAGAAGGAAAAGUGAAGGGGCAAAGGGACAUGCCAGCCAAGUCUGUUCUUUAUAUCAAAGAGGUAAAAGCUUUCCUAGAAGCCCCACUGGGCAGAUUUUUGCUUGUAUUUCAUUAGCCAGAACCGAAUCAUAUGGCUAUUCCUAACCAAUCGUUAGUGAAGAGAAUAAGGUUACCAUGCCCUUUGGAACAAUCAAGAUUCACUCAGAGGGCUCAGGUAGAGGCCUAAUUCUCCUUGAGAUGAGCAAAUCACCAGUGCCACAGGAACAAAUCAGUUUCCUUAGCAGAAAAGAAUGGGGUGGGGGUGGGAUUACUAAUUAGGGAGAGGACAGUGUCUGCCAUAAGGUUUGUGAAAGAUGUAAUAAUUGCUUUCCAGGGGUGGGCUGUCAUUGGCUGAUACUCAUUCCUCUUGCCUGGUGAUUGGCUCAGCAAUGAGCACAUGGUCUAAAUAGGGCCAGGAAUUCUAGUCCAUAAUAGGGGGGAGAGAAGGCUCUUCCUCCUCGUGCAGUGAGGAAUUCGAAUGUGAUGCCUAGAACUACUGCAGCCGUUUUGUUCCCAUGAGACCAGCCUAACUAAGGAUGAAGCUGGCAUAUACACAAAGGAGAGGAUGGAGAGCUAAAAGAACCCCCAACAGAUGGAACAAAGGCCUUGAUUGAACCUUGAGGUCCACAACCUUGAGGUCCACAGGACUUCUAGACUUUGCAAUUACAAAAGCUAACAUACUGUCCUUGUACAAACCAGCUUGACUGAGUUUUUUGUUGUUGUUGCAACUAAAAGAAGAGUAACUGGGAGAAAUAUACACAAGGACUUCAAGAGAAAGGGUCGUGUGGUUAAAUACGUUUGAAGAACUGGAUUAAACAAUGUUUUGGCAAAAAAAAAAAAAAAUUUUUUUUUGCUUGACUUAAAUUAUGUUAUAUGCUGCUAUGUAAUGUGAGGCUUCAAGAGGGGAGAUCUCAUUUCGCAUUUCCAGAAUAUAUUGUCCCCUAAAUCCUUUGAUCAUGUGGCACCUUUUAGGGCUCUGUGGAAUAGAGUUUGGGAAUGCCACCAAGCCUAACCCCUACCCUCUAAACUUCAGGGUCUUUUUCUUUUUUAAUAUAAUAUUUUAUUGUGUUUUCGGUGAAAGUUUACACAGCAAAUUCAGUUCCCAAUUAACAAUUACUACACAAAUUGUUCAGAGACAUUGGCUACAUUUUUCACGUUGUGUUAACAUUUUCAUUAAUUCCCUUCUGGAUGUUUCGCUUCCAGUAAUCUGGUUUCCCUGUCCCCUUAUCUUUCAUCUUUGCUUUAGAGUAAUUGUUGACCAUUUGGUCUCAUAUAGAUGAUUUUUUUUUUUAAGGUGUGCAGUACUCACCGGCAAUGUUUUUAUUUUAUGAGCCAAUCUGUUAUUUUGCUAAAGGUGACCUCUGGGGGUAGUUUUGGUUCAGGAUUUAUUGCAGUAUUUCAGGGCGAUGGUCUCUGGGAAUCCUCUAGUCCCAACUGGUCCAGUAAGUCUGGACUUUUUAAGAACUUGAGUUCGGUCCAUGUCUUUCUCCCGUUCUAUCAGGAUCCAUCUAUUGUGGCCCUGAUCAGAACGGUUGUUAGUGGUAGCUGGGCACCUUCUUGUUCUUCUGGUCUGUCUUAGUUAUCUAUUCCUGCUAUAACAGAAAUGCCAUGAGUGGAUGGCUUUAACAAAGAGAAAUUUAUUCUCUCACAGUUUAGGAGGGUAGAAGUCUGAAUUCAGGGUGUCAGCUCCAGGGGAAGCCUUGCUCUCUCUGUUGGCUCUGGCGGAAAGUCCUUGUCAUCAAUCUUUCCCUGGUCUAGGAACUUCUCAGCGCAGGGACCCUGGGUUCAAAUGACAUGCGCUUCUGGCUCUACUUUCUUGGUGGUGUGAGAUCCUCUGUCUCUCUGCUUGCUUCUCUCUUUUAUGUCUUAAAGGAGAUUGACUAAAAACACAACCUAAUCUUGUAGAUUGAGUCCUGCCUCAUUAACAUAACUGCCUCUAAUCUUGCCUCAUUAAAAUCAUAGAGGUAGGAUUUACAACACAGAGGAAAACAUCAGAUGACACAAUACUGGGAAUGGUGGCCUAGCAAAGCUGACACAUAUUUUUGGAAGACAUAAUUCAAUCUAUAACAUUCUACCCUUUGCCCCCCCAAUUCAUGUCCUUGCCACGUGUAAAACACAAUCACCCCAUCAUAUCAUAGCAAAAGUCUUAAAUCAUCUCCAAGUUCAAAAUCUCAUCCUCUGCAAAAUUCCUCUUCAUCUGUGAAAUCUAUAACACAAGUUACCUGCUUCCAAAGUACGAUGGUGGAACAGCCACAAGCUAGACAUUUUCAUUACAAAUGGGAGAAAUUGGAGGGAAAGAAGUGAUAACAGGAACCAAGCAAGUCAGCAGAACACAUUACAUGAGCCCUCAAGGCUUGAAAAUAAUCCUCUGUUCUCUGAGACCUUUGACACAGUGGCCCCGCCCUCCAGACUCUAGGUAUUGGCCAAACACUGUGGAUUCCGAGUGGAGGUCCCUCAGCCCUAGGCUUCAGCUCCACCUUCCAGGCCCAGCGGAGCAGCAGCUCUGCUCCCUUGGCUUUGGGCAGCCCUAUUCUCAUAGUCUAUUUGAGUGGUGACUCCACCUUUUGGGACCCCAGAGGUCACAGCCCUACCCUUUGAGACUGAGGCAGCUCUGCUUCCUGUUUUCCUUGUCUCUUCAGCUUCUGCUUCCUGAGUCCUUGGCCUCUUGGCCCCUCAGGCCUCAGUGCCCAAGCCUGUCCUGCUUAGGCAAGAGUUCCAAAGCUCUUUAGCUCCACUGAUAAGUGCCUGGAGGUACCCCACUCUGCCAGUAAACUUCAGCCAGAAGGCACUCAGCUGUUUCGCUCCAUGGGUCAACAAGCCUAGCUCCACUGAUAGGUACUCGGAGGCACCCCACUCCACCAGGAAGCCUCCUGCCAAAGGCACUCAGCUCUCUCGCUUCGUGGAUCAGUUCCAGUGCUGUCUCACUCUGGUUUCCUGGUUCUGCUGCUGCUUCUUGCCGUCUGUGCUGUCUCCAGUGUAACAGCUCUCUUUAUUUCCUUCUGAGUCCUCACCAUAAUUGUCUUUUAUGUCCAUAAUUCCACCAACAGUCUCUUCAAGACAAUCUAAGCUUUUACUAUUAGGCACUUUAAGAUUCUUCCAACUCUAUCCAUUCACAGUUUCAAAACUGCUUCCACAUUUUAGGUAUGUGUUACAACAGCACCCCACUCUCAGUACCAAAUCCUGUCUUAGUUAUCUACUGUUGCUAUGACAGAACUAUCACAAGUGGAUGGCUUUAACAAAGAGAAAUUUAUUCUCUCACAGUCCAGUAGGCUAGAAGCCCAAAUUCAGGUUGCCAGCCCCAGGGGAAGGCUUUCUGUCUCUGUCAGCUCUGGGGGAAGGUCCUUGUCAUCAAUCUUCCCCUGCUCUAGGAAUUUCUCAUUGCAGGGAUCCUGGGUCCAAAGGAUACUCACUCCUGGCUCUACUUUCUUGGUGGUAUGAGGUCCCCCUGUCUCUCUGCUUGCUUCUCUCUUAUAUCUCAAAAGAGAUGGACUUAAGAUACAGCCUAAUCUUGUAGAUUGAGUCCUGCCUCAUUAAUAUAACUGCCUAUAAUCCUGCCUUAUUAAUGUCGUAGAGUUAGGAUUUACAACACAUAGGAAAACCACAUCAGAUGUCACAAUACUGAGAAUCAUGAUGUAGCCAAGUGUCAUGGAUUGAAUUGUGUCCCCCCAAAAUAUGUGUCGACUUGGUUAGGCUAUGAUUCCCAGUAUUGUGUGGUUGUCCUCCAUUUUGUGAUUGUAAUUUUAUGUUAAAGAGGAUUAGGGUGGGAUUGUAACACCCUUACUAAGAUCAUAUCCUGGAUCCAAUGUAAAGGGAGUUUCCCUGGGGUGUGGCCUGCACCACCUUUCAUCUUACAAAAGAUAAAAGGAAAGGGAAGCAAGCAGAGAGGGGGGCACCUCAUGCCUCCAAGAAAGCAGCGCUGGGUGCAGAGCACAUCCUUUGGACCCGGGGUCCCUCUGUGGAGAAGCUCCUAGACUGGGGGAAGAUUGACGAGAAGGCCGACAGAGAGAGAAAGCCUUCCCUUGGAGCUGAUGCCCUGAAUUUGGACUUUUAGCCUACUUUGCUGUGAAGAAAUAAAUUUCUCUUUGUUAAAGCCAUCCACUUGUGGUAUUUCUGUUAUAGCAGCACUAGAUACUUAAGACACCAAGUUGACACAUUUUUGGGGGGACACAAUUCAAUCUAUAACAUGGUCUGAGGGCAGUUCAUGUAGCCGGUUAGUCCUGUAGCCUGGUUUCUUCACUCUUUUCCUUCUUCCUCUUUGGCCCCACACAAGAAAAGACUGAUCAUUGUAUCUUAGAUGGCUGCUUGUGAGCUUUUAAGGCCCCAGCCACUACUUACCAAACUAGGAUGCAUAACAUCACUUUAUGAACUAUAUUAUGCCAGUUGUCCCGUGACAAUACAGUCCUAAGGCUUCAAACUCUGAAAAUCAAUCCCACGAGGUGUUUGGUUAUGUCUAAGUAUCCAUAACUGUGCCCCCUGCAUGCUUUGUUACAUAUAUGAACAUACAUGCAUGAAUACACACAUGAAUAUGCAUAUAGCUACAUGUCUAUAUGCACCCAUAUAUAUGCACAUAUACAUACCUACACGCAUAUAUGCAAACACACAUACAUGUGUAACCAUAUGCAAAUUUUUUGGUUGUUGUUACAAUAAGCCCCUGGUUUUUAACUUGAGAUGAGACAUGCAGUCAGUGUGGACAGAUUUAAGAGAAGAAUCAAGAGGAAGGAAAGGUAUGGGUUUCAGUUCCCCGAAGAUUUCCUCAGAAUGAUCUGUGAGUUUCGUACUGACGGGGGCUGCGUCAAACAGGCCAGACACAACUGCUAACUGGAGUUUGGCACAACGGAAAUUCCAGGAAGCUCAGAGCUAAAGAGCCUUAGCGGGUAGAGGCAGGGCUUAGGGCAGCGGGCUGGGGCAGGGGAGGGGGCUUAGGGCAGUGAACCUGGGGUAGGGGAGGGGUAGAGGCCCUCUGGCCCUCCUGAGGGCACUGGGCAGGGGUGGAUUUCCCCGUCAAACCCAUGCAAACUUGGCCACUACAGAUUAGUAAAUCAGCACGAGUAAACCCAUGCUUACCUUGCUUACUGGGUAACCGUCACUGUCAGGGACUGUAAAUUUGAAAAGAGCCUUUGAUUUUGUAGGAAGGUGCUGUGGGGUUGGGAGAGAGAUAGAUGCAGCCCUAUCUAGACCCAGAAUCUGUGAUGUGGUGAGAAAAUGUGAAAUUGUUCACUACAGAUGACCUGGCACUGGAAGCCCAGUUGGAGUUUUAAGCGUGGGGUGACAUCAUACUUUUCAGAAGGGAGAGGGUGGGAUGGAGGCAGGAGCAUCAGCAUGGAGGCUGUGAUAGCCACCCUGGAGAGAGCAGGGCCCAGACAGGGUAGUACUAUAGGAAAGCAGAGGGGGGCCCUGGGAAUCAGCCACAGUCGGGGUGUCCAGGAGAGGUUGCUUUCCUCCUCCCUCCAUGAAGUGGGGCUCAGGCAGAGAGGUGAGGUCACUCGGGCUGCCCACACCAAUUGGCUGCCUGGUGCUGCAGGGUCCAAUUUCCGUGAUGCUUCUGCCACCGACCUUCACUUGACUCUGAGUAAACAAACAACUCAAGCCUUACAGCUGUGGAGCUGGGGGUUGCACAGAGCAGACCUGUGCCUGGGCCUCCAGGGCUGCCUGGCAGGGGGUGGGGAGCCCAAUGGGCCCUGGCUCCGGGGAGACAGUGCUUGGCAACCAGGCCUCCCGAGAAGAUCAGUGAGAGUCCUCUGGCAGGAGGGGCCAGUAGGCAGCUCCAUUCCUGUUUGGCUGGGUGAGGGCUCCCUGAAGAAGUUUGGGGAGCUUGGUUAGCUCUAACAACACCACCAAUAAUAAUAGCAAUUAUCCUGACAUCAAGCCAUCCUUCAAAGUGUAUCCUGAACCGAAACACUUGCCAUCACCUCCACUGCCAGCACCUUCAUCCCAGUUGCCUCGAUCUUACCUGGAUCACCUGCAGCGUCCUCCCUGGGCUCUCUGCUUCUACUCUGCUCCCCUCCAGUCUGUCCUCCAGGUAGUAGCCACAGUGAUCUUACUGACAUAGAAGUCAGGCCAUGUCACUCCUCUGUUCCAAAUCCUGCAAUGGACCCCAGCUCACUCAGAGUGAAAUGCAUAGUCCAUACAGGAUAAUCUGCUUCCCUCUUGGUGUCUCCCACCCCCCAUUUACCUCUAUGACCUCAUUUCCCACAGCUCUCAAUUGCUCAGCUCUGGCCACCUCAGCCCUCUGGCUUUUCUACUGACUGCCUGGGAGCAGUCAUGCCCCAGGACCUUUGCACCAGCUGUUCAUCCCGCUGGAAUGCCCCUCCACCAGAUAUUCACAUGGUUUUCUCCCUUACCUCCUUCAGAUCUCUUCUCAAAUGUCACCUUCUUAUUGAGGCCUUCCCAGACCAUUUUAUUUAAAAUUUCAUCCCCCACCCCAACUCCUCUUGGCUCCCUUCUGUGCUUUUUCUCCAUUGCGCACACCACCAUCUAACCCACUAUACAUUUUACUUACAUAUGGGUCUGCCUCUCUCUGCAGACUGUGCCAUCUCCAGUGGCAGGAACCUUCGUCCUUUUGACAAGCAGGGACUUUAAAAUAACUUUUUGUUACUGUUGAGACCUCCGUGCUCAGAGCACUAAAAACAAAAACAAAAAAACCCAUUGCCAUCAAGUCGAUUCUGACUCAUGGCAACCCUGUAGGACAGAGUAAAACUGCUCUAUAAGAGUUCCAGGGUGUAAAUCUUUACAGAAGCAGAUAUCUUUCUCCCACGGAGUGGCUGGUAGAUUUGAACCACUGACCUUUCAAUGAGCAGCCUAGUGCCUAACCACUGCACCACCAGGGCUCCUCCCUGAGAGCACUAGCUGGCAAGAGCUGUUAAAUGAGAGAAGCAAUUCUACCAUUGAUUGUGCGUGUUAGACACUGAGCUUUGGUUUUCUCAACAAGCCCAGGAAACCUGCACUAUGAAUUUUUAUUCUCAUUUCCUCUUUUCUGUUUCUAGAAUUUCUGUUGGCCCGUCACGAAAUUCACCGAUUCUCUCCUCUCCUGUGUCAAGUCUGCUGACAAUCUCAUCAAAAUAAUCCUUCUUCUUUGGUAUCAUAUAUAUUUUUAUAUAGUGUCCUUCUCUCUACUGAAACUCCCUAUCUGUUCAUGCAUGUUGUCUACCUUUUUUACUAGAUCUUUUGAUACACUUACUAUAGUUAUUUUUUGAAGUCCCUGUUUGAUAAUGGAUGAUCAUUUAUUGAGUACUCUGUGGGGUACUUGGUAAAGUAGAGGGUCAGAGAAAAAGAGGAAGACUCUCAAUGAGAUGGAUUGACACAGUGGCUGCAACAAUGGGCUCAAUCAUAGCAAUGAUUGUGAUGAAAGUGUACGACUGGGCAGUCCUUCAUUCUGUUGUACAUGGGGUUGGUAUGACUUGGAAUCAACUUUAUGGCACCUAACAACAACAGCAACAUGUGUUGGGUGGAGUCCCUUAAUGGUAUAAAUAGUGUAAUACUCUUGGCUGCUAACCAAAAGUUUGGAGGUUUAAGUUCAUGCAAGGUGCCUUGCAACAAAGGUCUGGUGAUCUACUUCAAAAAAAUCAGCCAACGAGAACCCUGUGGAGCAGAGUUUUACUCUUAUGCACAUGGGGUCUCUGGUUGAUUCGUGUUUUUUUUUAAUGUGUCAGGCAGUUGGGCUAACGACUUUAAUCUUUUCAACAAGUUGAUUCAGAUGAAAACAUUGAGGUUAAGGACAGAAGGUGACUUGCCCCAAGCACUGAACGUUGGAAUUCUGACCCUGGACUGACUACAGAGCUUUCGUUCUAACCCACUCUGCCAAUCUGCCUUCAGCCACGCUCUCUCCCCAAGACCUGAGCUCAGCUCACCAAUUUUCCACAAAGAAGGAUCCAGGUGGCCUGUCUCCACGGCCUCUCCACUAUAGCCAGGUCUCUGAAGAGUGGAGCCGGCUCUGAUUCAAGCCACUCCGCUUGGCUUUCCAGACCCCCACCAUCUGGGCCUGUCCACCUCUCCCAUCCCAGCAGGGAGCCAAGCUGGUCCCCUUCUCUGCCAGAACCACUUUCUACCUUCUCCCCGGCCUCCUCAUGCCACCCCAAAUCUCAUCCCUCUGUCUCUAAUUUGUUGAUUCACUCAUUUAAUAUACAUUUAAUCAGCUUCUCUUCAGUAAAGAGAGGUAUGUAAGCACCCACCUUCCAGAGCCAGACAGCCUGGCUGGAUAUCUCAUCUCUCCACUUACCAGCUGUGUGAUUUAAGUAAGUAAUUCGUCUUUCAGUGCCUUGGUUUCCUUAUCUGUAAAGUGGGGGUAAUAGAAGGACCCAUCCCAGAAAACAGAUGGAGGAAUCAGUGACUUAGGCCACAUAUCAGUGUAGAAUGGAGCCUGGCAUCCAGCCAGCCCUCAGUGCCCAGGGAGCUGAGAGAAAGGGCUCUUCCUUUGUCUGUCUCCUUAGCUGCCUGGCCACUCAGAGGGGCAGAGUCACUGGGGUGUGAAAAGUCCAGCUGGCCAGGCUGUGCAGGAGCCCCUCUUGCUGGCCUUUCCCCCCCAGUCCCUUUCUCAAGCAGCCACAUACACACUCUUUGGCCAGAGAGGAGGCUGAGCUUUGCAAGCAAAUGCGGGGAGAAGACUGAGGCUAAGCACACAGACAGACACAUGGACAAGGCACUCACUGGACGUGCGAGCUCACACAUGUACUAGAACAUCAAUAUGAAUGUGUGCACUCAGACAGACAGACAGACAGACAGACACACACACACAGAGCCCUAACAUAACAGCUGACAUAUUGCUUUUGUUAUGUGCCAGGCCCAGCUCUAAGCAUUUUACAUCUAUUCAUUCAUUGGAGCUUCUCAGCAACCUUAGGAGGUAUGCUCUAUCGUUGUCCCCAUUUUACAGAUGGGGAAAGUGAGGCAGAGAGAAGUUAGGUAAUUUUCCCAAGAUAACACAAAGUAAGUGGCAGAGCUUGGCUUCCAACCCAGGGAGUCAUACCACAGAAGUGGAACCUGCAGGCAUGGCAACAGACUCACAGCUCACGUCUGCAAUGACACUCACUUUUAGACCCUUGGACACAGUGUGCCCAGUAGGGGAAAUGGAGACCUUCCCCAGGACAUUCACGAAGACAAGGCUGUCCACACUCACACGCACUCACGCAGAUGCGGAGGGGUAAAAGACCACCCUUAAACUUGGGGCCAGCAGACCCAAGACCCAAGCACAGCGUCAUACGAGAAUAUGCAUUCACACAGAUGCACGCUCAGGUCUGAUCGCAUAUGCUGUGUGCACAUAUGCCUCAUCCUUCCCCCCACACGCAGAGAAAUGGAAAACAACAAUCACACAGUUCUUGCAGCCUUCUGCCUCUGCUCAGAGCUGACUUCUUGCAGGCUCCUCCCCUCUCUCCAUUAGAUGGGCAGCCCCCCCGCACUGUGGGGGCUUCCCCCAGUGUGAUCCCCCAGUGCACCUGGCACAGUGUCUGGUGCACAAUAUGUGUUCAGCCUAUAUGGCUUCCCUCCCUAGUAGCUUCAGGCCUUUUGCAGCUAAGAGCUCUGACUUCACAGACAGGCAGGCCCAAGCUGUUGCUCAGAGCUGCCCUCCAGCUUAUGAGGCAAGUGACUUUACCUUUCUGGACCCACUGCUGUCCUUCUAGAGCAUACCCCUCUUGCCACAGCUGCCUCUUGGCUAUUGCUCUCACAUGCCAAGGAUGCUGUUACCCCAGGGCCUUGGCACUUGCUGUUCCUUCUGCCUGGAUGAAUCCACAUAACUCCCUCCCUCAUCUCCUGCAGGUCUUUGAUUAAAUGUCACCUUCCCAGUGAGGCCUUUCCAGGUUUCCCUACUUACAUUACAGCCCCUUCUCCACUCACCCCCCCGUCAUCCUUCUUCCCUCUCUACAUUUCUUAAUAGCUUCUUACCCACAGACAUGUUCUGUUUACUUGCUUAUUGUUUGUCUCCCCACUAGACUGUAAGCUUCAUGAAGCCAAGGAUUAUUUCUUCACUCUGGUGUCCCCUAACCCCAGGACAGUGCCUGGCACUAGCAGAAGCUCAGGAACUCUGGGGAAUGGAUGGUGAGCUGCACUGUGAAACAGGCUGGGAGUGACAAUACCCCUUCCGGGGUUGUUGGAAAGGCUAGGGACCAGAUGACUCUGUUCUCUACGGGGAGAGCUUCAUGCAAUAUCCGAGUGUCUCAGAAAAGCAGAAGAGACACAGGAAAGAUGACCCUGUGAAGACGGAAGCAGAAACUGGAGUCAUCUACAGCCAAGGAUCACCAGCUGUCACCAGAAGUUAGGAGAGAGGCAGGCAGCAGAUUAGCCCUCAAAGCCCUCGGAAGGGAUCAACUUAGCCAACACUGAUAUUGGACUCCCAGCCUCCAGAACUGUGAGACAGCAACUUCCUGUUCCUAUAAGCCUCUCAAUUUGUCGUACUUUUUUUAGGACAGCCCUAGGAAACUAAACAGAGAGCAUCUUUCCAGGUCUUUUCCUAUAUUUUACAUGUGUCCAUAUAGAACAAAACUAGGGGCCCUGGUGGCACAGUGAGUAAAGCACUCGGCUACUAACUGGAAAGUCAGUGGUUCAAACCCAUCCGCCACUCUGUAGGAGAAAAAUAUGGCAGUCUGCUCCCGUAAAGAUUUACAGCCUUGGAAACCCUAUGGGGCAGGUCUCCUCUGUCCUUUGGGUUUGUUAUGAGUCAGAAUCGACUUGACGACAAUGGGUUUGGUUUUUGGUUUAUGUAACAAAACAUGUUGCCCAUAAACAUGAAUUAUACACCAAUGGAAUCAUUCAUUCAACAAAUGUUUAUUGAACACCUACUUAGGUGCCUAGUACUGUUCUAGGUGCUAGGGACACAAAAAUGAGAUUCCUGCCCUCUGGAGCUGACAUUCUAAUAGCCUAGACAGCAGAUAAGUACAUAGUAUCAGUUCAGGUGGUGAUAGAUGCUAUAAGCAGACAUAAAUUUAGGUAAAGGGGUAGAGAAUGAUAGGAGUCGGGAUGGGGGUUAUUUUAGUUCAGGUGUCCAGGGAAGCCCCUCUGCAAAGGUGACAUUUGACCUGGGAGUUGAAGGGUGAGAAACAACAGGCCCUGUAGCUAUCAGGGGGUAGAGCCUUCCAGGCAGAAGAAACAAGAAGUGCCAAGGCCCUAAAGCUGACGUGAAAUUUCCAUUGCCAUUGAGUAGAUUCCAACUCAUAGAGACCCUGCAGGAUGGAGUAGAACUGCCCCAUAGGGUAACCAAGGAGCGGCUGGUGGAUUCGAACUGCUGACUUUUUGGUAGCAGCAGAGCUCUUAACCACUGAGCCUUCAGGGCUCUGGCAUGAAAUUAGUGAGUUGGAAAAAGCAAGGAUGCCAGAGGGGUUGGAGUGGAGUCAGGAGGGGAGAGGACCAGAGAUGGGUUGGAGAGGUGGCGUUGGGGUGGGGGGCAGAGCAUGUGGGGCCAUGAGGGCUGCGGUGAGCAGUUUGGAUUUUACUCCAAAUUCAAUGGGAGCCAUGGGAAGAUGUUGAGCAGAGGAGUGGCCUGAUGCAGCAUUUUGUGUGACAGAAUCCAGGGGCUGCUGGUUGAGCAUGGCAGCUGGAGAAGGGCAGGAGCAGGGAGACAGGGAGGCAGCUGCUGCUGUUGUCCUCAUCACACCUUGCCCCACUUAACGACUCAGCCUGAAGCUCUCGCUUGCCUGGGACACAGAGCCCAUCUGUUUUUUAAUGGUUCAGGGCACUUUCACUUCCAUCCUAUAAUUCAGAGGCUCACUCCAGUUCUGGGAGUCAGGGGCGACAAGGCUGUGACCCCCUCUGGACAGAGGAGGACAAGGAAGCUCAGAGCAGGAGGGUGUCUCAGCCCAGGUCACCGGAUGGGCUUGGUGGAGGACCCUCCAGCCUCCAUGGCUGCCUUGAACCCUGGACCUCCUUGGGGAGGACCAGGCAGGGUGGAAGUCCCUGUGAGCCCUCCUUCCAUGCCCUCUCCUGGCAUGCAGGGCUGGGCAGUGGGAGCUUCACAGCCAGAAUGGGUUCUGUUUGUCUGUGCCAAGACACUAAUGAGCCUGAAAUCCAACCCAGGGCCUCCGUGCACUGAAAGCAGUGGGAGUCAGCACCCUAAUUAACCGCCUGUGGCCCAGGAAAUCCACUCCAUUCACCCGCAGCCCAGUGAGCAGCCCCCUGGGGACCACCUGGCUGCCCUGCAUCCAGGCUUGGGACGUCUCUGGGCAGGUUGGGAACCAGGGGUGAUGCCCACCCCAUCUGUGCCACUGGCCCAGGAAUGGCUUCCUCUGCUCGCUGAAGAGCUUUGGUGCAGGGUACGGGCCACAGCAGCGGCCAGGGAGGCGGUGAGACACCAGAGAGGGAAAAUGUUAUCAGGAACUGUACAUCCACGAGCAUCUUACUGGGCAGGUUGCUUAACCUCUCUGGCUUUGGGUUUUUAAUUUGUGAAUUAAAGCUGUGUCUUCGCCUGAGUUCCCCUUGAAAGCAGACCCUGAUAUAAAGAUUUGGAUGUAAGUAGUUUAUAUGGGCAGCAAGAAAGUCCUGAUGAUCUUCUUCCAAAAAGCAGCAGUGAAAAUCCUAUGGAUCACACCAGUCCGAUCUGCAACUGCUCACGGUGUGGCUCAGGACCAGGCAGUUGGCCAUUCCAUUGUGCGUGGGGUCACCAUGAGUCAGGGGAUGACUUGAUGGCAGCUAACGACAACAACAACAGCUUAUUUGGAAGGUGCUCACAGAAAGCCUGUCAGAAGUGGGGAAAGAGAGAAUAGCCUAUAAAGGGUGCAGGCACCAAUAGUGGCAAUCAGGGUCAGCCUCCUUGAAGAACCUCUGAAAGAGUGCAAACACACCUUGGAUGUGUCCCGCUGAGGGGUGGGGAAGCUGGGCCUUCAUUCAUCACUUCCCAUUCCUCACUGGUUUAGGGUCCCUCUUGGGGGUGUUUACUCCCCGACACUUUUGGCCUGGCCAGAGAACACCUCAGGUGCAGGGGCAGGAGGCUGUUGGCCUUCCUAGGAAAUGGCCCCCAGGGUCCUCUAGAGUAGACCAAGGACAUGCGGGCAGAGAAUAGGCUAUAGGCUGCUCAUUCAACCUGCUUGUGUGGUAGUGAGCAUUACAUGAACUGAUCCAUGCAAUCCAUCUGACAACAGUACUUGGCACGUCGUAAGAGCUCAGUAAACAGCAGCAACAGUAAUAAUGGAAGCAAAUUAUUGUUGUCAUUACCAUGUUCCAGGCCCUAUGCUUGCUUCUGGAUUACAUACUGAACAAAUUUCUGCCUCUCAAGGAUGCUAUAGUGCAGGUCCUAUUAUUAGCCAAUUUUGCAGAGGAAGAAACUGAGGCUCAGUGACAGAAGCAAUUUGCUCACAUCAUACUGCUAAACCAGGCCUGGAGCUGAAAUUGAAACUCAGAUGAGGACAUCAAGGCACGAGAGAUUGACUUGCCUUGUCACACAGUUACCAGAGGUAGAGCCCGGAUUUCAGCCGAGCCAGUUUAGAUCUGGAGUUCAUGUGCUAUCAGCCACAACGUGUCACUGCCCUCUGCCCCCCUCUCCACCUCAGUGAAGAUGGUGGGAGAAGGCAGCACGUGGUUGAGCCACCCAAUGAGCCCAGGGGCCUCCAUGGCUGGGGCCCCAAAGAGGGUUCGGUGAGCAGAGCCUUGGUCCUCAGGAAGAGUUUGGAGAGGAGAAGGGGACAGCGUGAUGGCUGGGGUCAGAGAAGUCUUCUCUGAGGAGGUGACAUUUGAACAGUGAUCUGAAGGAGGUGAGGGAGCAAGCCAUGUGAGGAUAUCUGAAGGAAAAGCAUUUCUGGCCGAGGAAACAGCGGAAGCCAAGGCCCCAAGUGGUUCACACGCCCAAGUGAGCAUCAGAGUCACCUGAGAGGCUUGUUAAGCCCAGACUGCUGGGCCUCCCCCGGCCAGAGUUUCUGACCCAGUGGGUCUGGGUGGAGCUGAUUUGCAUCUCUAACCUGUUCCCCAAGAAUGGCGCAAGCAGCUAAACAUUCGACCCCUAGCCUAAAGGUCAGCAGGCAGUUCAAAUCCACUCAGAGGCACUUCAGAAGACAUGUGUGGCAAUCUACUUCCAAAAGGCCUUGUAAAUCCUACGGAGCACAGUACUACUCUGACAUACUUGGGGUCUCCACCAGUCAGAAUUGACACAACGCCAGCCAACAACAACAACCUGUUCCCUGGCACGGCUGAUGCUGCUGGUCCCGUGAGCACACUGAGAACCUCGGCUCUCCUUGGGAAGGCGGUGGGGGUGGUUGUUUUUAACUGCUGCUGAGUCAGCUCCAACUUCUGGCCACCCUGUGUCCAACAGAACAAAAUGUUGCCCAGCCCUACAUCGUCCUCGCAAUCACUGGCAUGUUUGAGUCCAUUGUGCCAGUCCAUCUCACCCAGGGUCUCCCUCGCCCUUUCCGGCCCUCUUCUUUGGCAAAUAUGAUAUCCUCCUCCAGCGAUUGAUCCCUCUCAACGACAUGUCCAAAGAAAUCCAUCUGACAAUGUUCUGUUGUGGUCCAUAAGGUUUCCAUUGGCUAAUUUUCAGAUGCAGAUCACCAGGCCUUUCUUCCUAGGAACAGGUGAUGGCUACAGAUGAGAAAAUGGAGGCUCUGCAAGGGGACAUGAUCUGCCAAGUCCAUACAACCGGGAGGUGAUGGGCCCUAAAGCUAGUACUUGAGCCAAGGCCUCUUCAGUGCUUGGCCAGCUUCUGGUCCCUGGUGGAGAGAGAAGGGAGCCCCUGGGGGUCUCUCUCCUCCACAUUCCAUUCAAGGUUAAAGUCUGAGGAAGUGAGGGGAAGGGGGACAGAGGGUGUGACCUGAGCUGCCAGGGGCCAUCAGCUUCAAGGGUGUUGAGACCUUUCUGCCUCUGUCUCCACGGAGGCCAUAAUGGAGGGUGGGGUUGCAUCCCAAUGGUUGUCAGGAAUGCUGUCAGGGAUUGUAUUUUCCUGACCCCUUGAAGUUAGGCAUACCGUGUGACUUGGUUUGGCCAAAGAUUUGUGAGCAGAAGUGGCGUGUGCCUCUUCCAGGUGGAAGCCUUAGGAGCUGGUGAACGGUUUGCCAUCUCUAGACCCUGCCAGCAUGAGGAGCAGGGUCUUCGUGGAAUGGCUUUGCCAGCCUGGGUCCCUGGCUGAAACAAUGCAGAGCAGAGCCCGCGCCAACUUGAGAUGGAUAUGUAACAUGAGUAAGAAAUUAACCUUUGUUAUUCUCAGCCAACAGUCAGCAAACUUUUUGUUAAAAAGCCAGAUAGGAAAUAUUUUAAGCAUGGGGGCCGUGUUGUCUCUGUCACAGCAACUCAGCUCUGCCGCUGUAGCAAGAAAGCAGCCAUGGACAUAUAUACAUGAAUGGGUGUGGCUAUGUUCAGAUAAAAUUUUAUGUACAAAAACAGGUGGCCAGGGGCCAGAGUUUGCUGACCCUUAUUUGAAGCCAGUGAGAACUGGGGGUUGUUUGUUUCCUGAACACUACCCAGCCAUACUAUUACACAUUCCUUAGUGAACUCGCUGGAAUAAACAAUAGAACCUAUUAUCUAUCCCUAUGCAAGCACCGGGAGUGGAGAAGGCACUCUUUGGCCCCUGGGUAUAUGGAAUGGUGUCUGGUAUACAGUAGGUGCUCUAUGUUUGCUGGAUGAACAGAUGAAUGAAUGCAUUUAUGUAAAUAAUUUAGCCCAGUCCCUGUCAUUAUAAGUGCCAAUGAAUGGUAGCUUCAAGUAAACAAUUGUUACUACCUGGGUUUUGUCUUUGCCUGUUUAACAAGAGGCAUGCGGUUGCCUGCCUGGGUUCAGGCCCUAGUUCUACCAGUUUCCAGUUUUGUAGCCUUGGGCACCUCACUUAAAUUUUCUCAUGUUGAUAGAUGGGAUUUAAAACGGUACCUGCCUCCUAGAGUUGUUGAGGAGUACAUGAAUCUUGGUGUGUGCCUAGAGUCCCCGGGUGGUGUAAACAGUUAACACGUUUGGCUGCUAACCGAAAGGUUGGAGGUUCAAGUCCACCCAGAGGUGCCUCAGAAAAAGGAUCUGGUGAUCUACUUCUGAAAAAUCAACCACUGAAAACCCUAUGAAGCAUGGUUCUACUCUGACACACAUGGGGUCGCCAUGAGUCGGAAUUGACUGGAUGGCAACUGGUAGCCUGUGUCUGUUACAGAGGGAACACUCAGGAACAUUAACCCUCUGCCACACUUUGCCAGGGCCCAGGCUCAUUGUGCACCAUCGGGUUUACUGAGACCCUCCCUAGCCUGGGGACAGGAGACCUUUGUAACUUGCCACGUGACCUUGGACUAUCACUGCUUUCGAAGAGCCUCGGUUUUCCCAUCUGUGAGGUGGGAGAUGGAGGCUGAAGUGGGGGACCUCUGAGGUCCCUGGUAGCCUGCAACUCCACAUAGGCCACUCCUGAGCAGCCCAUGUUCUCCAAGCCCUUUGCAUAGCCCUGGGCCGGAGGCAUGAAUAGUGAGGUCACAAACAAGACUAUUGAUGGUAUCAUAGCCCUUAUUAUUAUCAUGACAAAGCUGCAAGUGAGAGGAAGUCCUUUUGGGAGUGGGGUUCCCUGGCUUCUGGGCCGUCCUGCUCUGCCUUGAUUUCCCCCACUUCCACCCAGUGGUCAGACCCAGCUGUGGGUGCAGGGGGGAGGUGGCGGCCCCUGGGUGCUCAAAGCUGAAAGAUGCAUUCCUCACAAUUGCCACCAAGGCUUCUUUUUUUAACCACCAUGAGCUGACUAAUGCCCGAGAGUGUCAUUCCCUCCCCCUCCAGGUAGGAGCAUAGGUGUCUCAAAAGCAGGGGAGUGAGGUAGUGGGGGGGGGGGAGGAAGCUGCUGCCUCCAAGAGCUGCUGGGACACCAGGGCCACCUGUGUGUCCUCAGAGCCCCAGCCCUGCCCCAAGGCCCCACCCAUUGGGCAUACAUGUCCCAGCCUCUCUAUCAGGGCUCUUUUUUUCUCACUGAGACCCCCCUUCUCCCAGAUCCUCCGCACCCUUUUUUGAGUUUCCAUAUCCUAGUCCUCUCUAGGGAAACCCUGGUGGCAUAGUAGUUAAGAGCUACAGCUGCUAACCAAAAAGUUGGCAGUUCUAAUCCACCAGGUGCUCCUUGGAAACCCUAUGGGGCAGUUCUACUCUGUCCUAUAGGGUUGCUAUGAGUUGGAAUCGACUCAACGGCAAUGGGUAUUCCUCUCUAGAUCCCUGCCCAUCUCUGAAUCCCUUCUCCUCUCUGGGCCCUUGUCCCCCUCUGAACCCCAUCAUCCUCUCUGGGUCCCUGUCACCUCUCUGCCUUCCCCAGCCGCUACCUCCAGAUCAAAACAACAUGAAAUUCACUGCCAUCGAGUCAAUUCCAACUCAUGGCGACCCAACUGUUAUAGAGUAGAACUGCUCGACAGUGUUUUCUUAGCUGUAAUCUUUAUGGAAGUAGAUCGGCAAGCCUUUCUUCCAAGGUACCUCUGGGUGGUUUUGAACUGCCAUUUUGGUCCAUAGUGGAACACAAACCAUUUGCACCACCUAGGGACUAGCAGGGUUGGCUGUGGAGGACUUAGCUCUGGCCUGGGAAUCAGGAAUCCUGGCUCAAGCCUCAGUACAGCUUGAGACUCUUAGGGGACUUUAUGCAACUCUUGUCUGUAUUCUGGGCCUCAACUUCCCUAUGUGUGCAGUGAGAAGGUUGGACUGGAUGAGUGAGAAAGUCCCGUCUCACGCUGAGUAGCUAAUGUUCCCUCAAAACCCAAGACCCUUCCAACUGGGUGGGAACCCAGCGGCUUGUCUUCAUGGUGAUGGAAGUUCAUGUUCCUCACUGAAGUUCAUUUCCCCUAAAUAGCAAGGGCUCUCAGCAGCUGUCUCCUUGGUAUAUUUUGGGAUUUGCCUUACUAUUGCAAACGUAGUUCCAACUUCCCCUUCUUGAAGUCAGCCGUGUCUGGUCCAAAGGGACCCUCAUGCAGCCUGGGUCCCGUUAUGUUUUCCACCUACCCACAACCUAAAACUUGUCUAGGGUGGGUGGGUGGAUGUCUAGUGACACUGGCCAAACCCUGAGCCAGUGAAUUUAUCAUGCUGAGGGCACGGGGCACGGGAUGGACUCAUUCUGAUGAGCUGGUGCAGAGUUUGGAGAUGCUCAGCCUCCAGGGUCAAGCCCAGUUAUUGGGGCAGCAGUGGACGCCACCACCAGAUUUGUUGCUAUAGGACUGUGAGUGGGCGACAGCCCUAGCUGUGCCCCUGGGGCUCCACUACCACUUUGUGCUGAGCCCACCCUUCCAGUCAGUGCCUGAGCAGGUGGGGGUACCAGGACAGGCCCAAUCUGGAGACAUGUGGACCACUCUAGUGAGUGACUUUGGCCCAGGGAUUCCCAAUUACCAUGGCUGAACCUUUCUUGGAACUGCACUGCAGUCCCAGACUCUUCCUCCCCAAGCUGCCUUCCUUCCCCCUCUAUCCCCAGGUGUCAGACCUACAUGUCACCGCCUGAAGUUUCUCCCUGCCUUCUCCUGCUUACACCCCCAAAAACCUCUUGCAUUUAUAAUCCAGUUUUGGUAUCUGCUUCUCUGUUGGCCCGCACUAGCACAGUUACCCACUCGUAGGCUGUUCAGGUUAUGUCAUGCACAGCAAAUAACAGCAACAACUAAUCGUUAAUGCGCACAUGUUAAUGGGCCAAGCACUGUGCUACAUCCUGUAUAGGCAAUAUCUCACCUAAUCCUCACACAACCUCAGGAGGGAGAAACUCUAACCAUCCCAUUUUAGAAUGAGGACGCUAAAGCUGAGAGAAUCCAGGAACUUAAAACCACAAGUACAAAAUGAUUGUAGAGUCUCCACAAUUAGUGCUAACAUCUGUCUCACUGGUUUAUGUGACAUAUGUCAAUGAGUGCUCAGUCUCUUUUUGUUGAUCAUCAUGUCUCCCUCCUCGGAGCUUCACUUAAUCCCUGGCAUGUAGAAGGCUCCGAAUAAGUAUUUGCUGAAAGUGUGAAUGGAUAAAUGAGCAGUGAAAGAGCUGAGAACAAUAGCCAAAUGGCUUAUCCACAUUGCAAAAAGGCCAUAGAUGAGAAGAGGCUUUUGUUUGAAGCUCCUCAGCCCCAGCAAAACAUGAGGGUGUGAGUUUCUAUAUUUAUUAAAACAUAUUUAGCUUCUCUUCUUUUCUUUGUCACUCCAGUUCUCUCCAUAUUUAGGACACAGAAGAGAGCAAUGCAAGGAGCUUGUCAAACCGAGUAGGGCUCCUGACUCUGCCACUCACAGCUUAUGAGUUAUCUCUCUUUCUGGGCCUAGGUUUCCUCAACAGUAAGUAGGGGUGGUGAUGUGUACUGGAUCAAGUCCUGGCAGAGAGAGGACAGAGCGGAUAGCCAGCAGGCACUACUCUCCUGCCUCCUGUUAACCCACAUAGGUGGGACACAGCCCCAGGACUGAGCCGGGACAAGUAGGAAGGUAGGGGGCUGCAUUGGCUGAAAUGCUAAUCCCCAGAGGAAACCCAGUGCUGGCAGCCUGCUCCCUUCCUCCAGCUGCGUGGUGGCAUCCUGUCAGCCCUUCCAAGCCUGUGGGCGAGUAUCAGGCCUCUGGCUGCCCCAGUUUCUACUGACAGCAGAGGGACCAUGCGUGAGUCACUGCAUCACCCCAGGUUUCCGCUGCUGCCCUUCGGCCAGCCAGGCCUUCCUGGAUUAGUAACUGGAUCAGAGUCCCCGCCCCUGAGAGAGUCUGGGGCUCAGGAACUCAAGGCUGGCUGUGCCCGCUGCAGGCGACCUUGUUCCAGCCUCUUUGGACCUCACUUCAUAGAUGGGGAAACUGAGGAUCAGAGAUGGGAGGGGAUUAGCCCAGGGUCACACUGACACUAAGUGGCAGAACAGGGACUCGAACCUAAAUUUCCUGGUGCCUAUCUCAUGGGCUCAUGGGUUCAUUCAUUUACUCAUUCAUUCAUUCAUUUGCUGGGUUCUGUUUCCACAAAUUAUGUCUCAAUUUUUUUUUUUUCUGUCACUGUCCCGCACGGCUGGCCGUCCCCUGGGCCCAGUCACUGACAGCUCUUACCUAGGCAGCUGCAACAAGGUCCAUCCAAGCCAUUUUUCACAGCAGGACGGGGAGGGAGCACUUUUUAAAACAUAAAAAUCAGGUCAUGUCGCCCUCUUGCUUGGAUCCUCUCACAGUUUCCCAUCUCACUUGGAAUAAAAGCCAAGGACUUUACUAGGAGUCAUAAUGCCCUAAGAAUCUGGGCUGUAAUCCUUGAUCUUCCCUCUUACUGCCCUCCCCCUUGCACACAUGGCUCCAAUCACGUUGGCCUCUUCAGAGUAUCUAGGAAACGUCAAGUUGCCCCACCUUGGAGACUUUGCAUAUACUGUUCCCUUUUUUUUCUGCCUGGAACGUCCAUCUCUCAGUGUCCCCCAUGGCUGGUUCCUUCCACCCUUCAGGUCUCAGUACAAAUAUCCCCUCCUUGGGAAGCCUGGCCAAAGCAGACCUCCCGCCUACCCUCAGCUAUUCUGCCCUGUUGCCCUGCCUGACUUCUUCACAGCACAUACCACAUGGAAACUAUUUUGUUAGUUCAUCUGUUUACUUUAUUCCCCACAAGAGAGGGAGCUUCCUGAAGGUGCCGGUCUUAUUCUCCAUUGUGGCCCCAGUGCCUAGAAGAGUCUCUGGCACAAAGUGGGUGGUCAACAAAUAUUUCUUGAAGAAAUGAACGAAAGAGCCGAGCAAUGAGGUCAAUGCUGCCUCGCCUUUUAAGACUCAACUCUCAGCCUAGGGCAGGAGGUAGUUCACUUUUCAUUGUAAAACUAUUCAUACUGUUUGAAAUUUUUAGUAUGUGGCUAAUUUAAAAAAUGGAAGUAUUUUGUUGAAUUUGCUUAUUCAUAAAACAGGUAUUUAUUGAGCACCUACUGUUUACCGAAGAAGCCCUGGUGUUGCAGUGGUGAAGUGCUUGGCUGCUAACCAAAACGUCAGUGGUUUGAACCCAGCAGACGCCCUGAAGGAGAAAGAUGUGGCAGCCUGCCUCCAUAAAGAUUUACAGCCUGGGAAAACCUAUGGCACAGUUGCGCUCUGACAUGUAGAGUAGCUAUUUUUUUUUUUUUAUGAACCAGAAUUGACUCGAUGGCAGAGAAUUUUUUUGGUUUUGGUUUACUGCACACCAGACACAUGUCAAAAAAGGCUCAAGAGAUUGUGUUGGCAACUCUUGUCUGGAGAGGGGAUGGGAGGAUAGAGAGAGAGGGAAGCUGGCAAAAUUGUCACGAAAGGAGAGACUGAAAGGGCUGACUCAAGAGGGGGAGAGCAAGUGGGAGUAGGGAGUGAGAUGUAUGUAAACUUAUAUGUGACAGACUGAUUGGAUUUGUAAACGUUCACUUGAAGCUUAAUAAAAGUUAAUAAAAAAAAAAUGUAAUUGAAAUGCAUCAAGAGGCCAGAGGACAGUUUUGAGCAGUGCACCGAUAUAAUCACUCUUGAUGUUAUGUUCAUAAGGAGUUGUUCAGGGUAUAAGUGAAAACGAGGAAGUUUUUGGCUAAGGAGUAAGGAUUUUUUGAGAAUCAUCUGCUCAGGAGCCUUGUCGAAGGCUGGUGAAAAAUGUAAGUUUCUAGAUCCUAAGAAUUCAAGUUCCUAAGUUAAGAAUCAGAACAUCUGGAAGGGGAACCAGAAAUCCAAGGGGUUCCUCAUGCAUGUGGAAAUUUGAGAACUUCUACAUACCUUCUAACAACAACAGGCAGAGCUAUAGCAAUGUCCAUGUGAAAAAAGGAAUCAACUUUUUAAAAACUUUUUAUUGAAGUGUAACAUAACCUGUGUUUGUUUUUUAAGAGAUGACAGAGUCCUUAACAUUUGCCUUAAAUAAUUUGUUCUCUACUUGGAGCCCUUAAAACCUUAAGGAUAUGGAACAACAGUAAUGGAGGUAUUUCAGAAUAGAUCCAGCUAAAAUUUACAUUAGAAAAGAAAUAAAAGUACUUCGUAGAUUGACUGAAACUUCAAAUAGUUUGAUUUUACCUAGAAUUAUAUCAACUCUGUGUGUUAAAGCUGGUUAUAUCACUGUUAAAAUGUAAUAUUUGCUUCCUUGUUUUAAAACAUUGAAAACCAUUACAUAUUGGAGAUGAUUUAUAGAGUGGUUAAAAGGGCCGGUUUUAACUUUAGAUAAGUGGUUUUGAAUUAUGGCUAUUCUUGUUACUAUAUAGGUGAUUUUGGUCUAAUUUCUAAACUUCCUGAAGCCUCAGUUUUCUUGUCUGUAAAAUGGGGUUAAGAUAAGUCCUGUAGUGAUAAGGUUGUUUUGAGUACUAAUUGAGAUAAUUCUGUAAAUGGCUUAGCAAGGUGCCUAGCAUAUUGUAAUAUGUUUAAUAAAUAUGAAUGAUCAUUAAAAAAAAAAAAAAAGGCUCAAGAAGUCCCUGCCCUCAGGGAGCUGAUGUUCUAGCUUAGGGGCUCACAGCCUUGGCUCUGUAUUGAGUCACCCAGGGAGCCUUGAAAACUCCUGCUGCCUCGGCUGCGCCCCAGUGAUUCUGACUCAAUUGGUCUGCAACGGGGCAUCAGGAUUUAAAAAGCUCCCCCUGGGGAAUUCCAGUGUGCUGCAGGGUUGAGAGCCACUGUUUGGGGGAGGAGACAGAUAAACAAAACACCUCAGGCAGUGAGACCUGCGGUGGAGAAAGCCACACAGGUAAAAGGGUUGAGUGGGAUGGGGUUGCUGUUUAAGAUAGCUUGGUCAGAGAGGGUCACAUGGGGAGGUGACAGUAGAGCAAGGAGGGAUCCAAAGAAAGUGAGGGAGUGAGUCAUGUGAUACUAAGGGAAAGUAGCCCAGGCAAAGGGAAGAGCAUGUGCCAAGACAUGGGGAUGGGGAAGAGCAUGGUCGUGUGAUGAAUGGCAAAGGAGCCAGCAGCGUGGCUGGAACGUGGUGGGAGGGCAGGCCUGUGACGGGAAGAAUGGAAGGAGGCAGGUUGAGAGGCAGCUGAGUCUUGUUAGGAUCAGCCUCAUAGACCCGGGCUUGUGGGUAAGAUUGUAGAUGAACAGAUAGCUCCUUGGCCAAGAAAAAGUUCCCAAACUACUGUCCUCAUUGAGUCUUAAGCUUCAGCAGCCACACGUCCCACGGUUCCCCAGGCCUGGAGGAGUUAUUGCUGCCUCAAGGCCCUGAUUUCCUCCUCCCUGGCUACAUCCUCUUAGCCGUGACCCUCAUUACCCAAAUAGAUGCUGGCAAGAAAAGGCUGGUCCGAAUAUUGGGAUCAUCCCCACUUGUCUCAAUGUACUCGCAGUGGCAUCAGACCCAGCCCCUUCCACCCCACAUGCACCCCCUCUACCCUGCCAGCUCAUAAAAGCUUGGGGCUUGGAAGGGAGGGGUUGGAAGAAAGGUUACCAUGAGUGAUCAAGGGGUUAAGCCCCCUGCCUUGGGGAGGAUUGCGUGCUCUAAAAGGCUGGGUCUGUCUGACCUGGGUCCUGGGGGCCCAAAGCUGGCGAGUGCUCUGGCCUCACAGAUCAGAAGCAGGCUGAGCUUGGCCAGGUGUGGGCACAAAGCCCGAGUGAGGGAGAUGGCCAGGUCGUUCUGGGUAUAGCUAGCCAUGAGCACUGGUCGGCAUGUCUGGAGAUCAGGGUCACCAUGUCCAGGGAAAUUCCAGAGCUCUAGAAUCUCGGAGUUCUCUGUCCUAGAGUUAUAAUGUAGAAAGUUAUUUAGAACAUUGUGUUAGAAUUGUGUCCAAAUGUCAUAGUGUGUUAGCCUCUUAGAUGAGACUGUUGUGUUACACACUCUUUUUGUUUUUAAAUAAUUUUUAUUGUGCUUUAAGUGAAAGUUUACAAAUCAAGUCAGUCUCUCACAUAUAAACUUAUAUACACCUCACUACAUAUUCCCAUUUACUCUCCCCCUAAUGAGUCAGCCAGCUCCCUUCUUCCAGUCUCUCCUUUCAUGACCGUUUUGCCAGUUUCUAACCCUCUCUACCCUCCCAUCUCCCCUCCAGACAGGAGAUGCCAGCACAGUCUCAAGUUACACACUCAUAAUAUUGCAUUAGCAGGCUGUGUAAUGUUAUGUCUUAGAAUGUUGUGUGGCUUUAGAAUGUUCAAUGAGAAUGUUGGUUACAACUGUGCCAAGAUGCUACAUUAGAAUAUUAAGUUGUAUUGGAGUGUUAUAUUCGAACGCUAAGACUGCAGAAGAAUUGACGCCUUUGAAUUGUGGUGUUGGCAAAGAACAUUGAAUAUACCACGGACUGCCAAAAGAACGAAUCCAUCUAUCUUGGAAGAAGUACAACCAGAAUGCUCCUUAGAAGCAAGGAUGGCGAGACUGCGUCUUACAUACUUUGGACAUGUUGUCAGGAGGAAUCCGUCCCUGGAGAAGGACAUCAUGCUUGGCAGAGUACAAGGUCAGCAGAAAAGAGGAAGACCCUCAACGAGGUGGAUUGACACAGUGGCUGCAACAAUGAGCUCAAGCAUAACAACGAUUGUAAGGAUGACUCAGGACCAGGCAGUGUUUUGUUCUGUUGUGCGUAGGGUCGCUAUGAGUUGGAACCGACUCAAUGGUACCUAACAACAACAAUGUUCUGAUAUAUUAGAGUGUUACAUUAGAAAAUGGUGUUGAAAUGCUUUGUUAGUGAAUUUUCUUAGAAUGUCAACUUGAGUCUUAAAAUUCAGAGGCUGGUUCACCGAGGCAAGAGUCCUUUGCCAGGGCACGGCACCAAGUUUGGGAGGGGCUCUAAUGCCGACUUCUUCCCCACCUCUUCCUCUCUUCUGACCUCAAUUUCCCCAUUUUCAAAGCAGGGGCUUGUGGGCAGUGUGGUCUAGGGCUUCCUCCCUUGGACUGCCUGUGGCGCUAGACUACUGGACUUUGUCCCCUCCCGGUCAGGAAGUGAGAAUUCUCUUUAACAAUGAGGUUGAUCUUAUCAGUGUGUUAAUGACUUUCUCGGAGUAAAGAGCAUCCUCACUGACAGGAAAAGUAAAAGGAUCAAGUAUCCAGGGUGAGAGAAACUCCUGGUGGCCAGGUCAAGGGGACAGAAUCAUGGGGCCUCCAUCCAGCAGCUUACUGCCCUCUAAAGGCAUGACAGUCCAUUUCCCCAAAUGAGGAUGCUCCAAGGUCCCCUGUACCUCUGCAUUGGCUGUGGCUUAACAGCUGUGAGGGACACCCCCGCCCCUGGCCCUUUCCAGACCCACGGCCAGUUCCAGUCCUGGACUGCCCACCCUGACUGACGGGAGGAACUGCUGAGUAGGUAGGCCUUGGACAAAUGAGUUGAGUAAAACUAUCCUGGGCCACCCCAACCCCAACCCUCACUGCUUCUCACUUCCUAAAAACCAAGACUGAUGCCAAAACAGCCUGGGAAACUCACACACUCUGAUUUUUAUGUGCAUCUUCAGGGUUCCCACGCACCUCCACCCAGAGACCCAGCUAUCCUUGACCUCAGGCAGUGAUGGGGCCGAGAGCAGAGCCCAGCACACCAGUUAGUGACCGUGAAGGCUCUUGCACAAGUCACUUCCUUCUUGCUUACAUGUGUCCUCAAGUGUAAAAUGGUUCAAGCACUGAGCUAAAUGCUUUCAAGUAUAAUUUCAAGCUUGUGCUCACCAUGAUCUCAUGGACAUGGUGAGCACGAACUUGAGAUACCACCUGAAAGUAUUGUAACCAAACUGUUCCAGGUCUGCUCGGCGUGGCUGUAGAGAAACAAAACAGGUGAAAGUGAAUGAAGAAGCUUUAUUUGAUUGGCCAAGCAAAGGAGCACACUGGGACUUGCAUUGCCAAGAUGGCUCCCAGAACAAUGGCCCAAGGGGUUUAUAUGGGCGAAGUAAAUUGGGUCUGGGGUCUUCAGGAGCACCUCGAGUUGGGGCCAACUUGCUGAUUGGUCAGGCAGGAAAGGCGUUCCCGGGGCAGUCUGGCCUUUCUGCGCUUGCUCAGUUUAAAAAGUGGUGGCUCUCAAACUGAAUCUUAGGCUCAGCCCCCUCGGUUCUGAAAGCCUUCCCCCACUCUUGGGAUGCUAAAGUUUGGUUCUCUCCGGUGGGAAAAGAGUUCCAGGGUCACCCAAAGGAAGGGGGUUGAUGGUUCUGUGCAUGUCCGGGCAGGCCAGAUCUAGUUCUUGCCAGUUUCAGCUGGUCCUGUGACCCCAGUCUCUUGUUUUCCUCAGCUUGGCCAGAAACAGGAAGCAUCCCUAAAUAAGGAGAUAGCUUAAAGGCAGGGAGUUAGUUCCUAAAUCACAGAAGGUGGCAGGCACAGCCCUUUGCCUAUUCAAGAUGGCGGGCAGGCUACUGGUCUCAGUAUUUAGCUCAGCACUGACCAACUGGCAGGUAUUCAGCAAAUGUGGAGGUUGUCCAGACCCAGGCCUACCUCUACCCCUCCCCCAUGCCUCCAGCUCAGGCUCUGGGUCCCAGCCACCUGCCUGCUCCAGUUCAGAGGAUAAAAUCCAUAUCCCAUGGUCAUCCUGAGAUGAAAAGGGAAAAUCCACAGGAGAAAGACAGCCAGAAGUCUCUGUGGCUGGGAGUGUUCUGGGGUAGACAUGAUGAGUAAGGGGGUUUUGGUGAAGCAAAUGAAUCACCUGAUACCUGCAAGGGCACCUGAUAAGAGAGGUAAUGCCUUGAAACCUGGAGUCAAGAGUCUGAGCAGGGUUCUAGGCCUACAUUGCUUAACUGGCUGACCUCUUCCUAUUUCAGGGCCUCAGUUACCUGUAAAAUGGGGCUUAAAAAGGCACCUCCUUUGAAUCCAUACCUUAUACCAUAUAUGAAAAUUAACUCAAAAUGGAUCAAUGACCUAAAUCGAAGAACUAAAGCUAUGAAACACUUCAAAGAAAACAUACAGGUAAAGCUUCAAGGCCUUGUUUUUGACAAUGGAUUCUUAGAUAUGACACUGAAAGCAUGAGCAACAAAAGAAAAAAAAUAAAUGAACAAAUUGUACUUCAUCAAAAUUAAAAACUUUUGGGCAUCAAAGGAUUUUAUCAAGAAAGUAAAGAGACAACCUACAGAAAGGGAGAAAAUAUUUGGUAACCAAAUGUCUAACAGGAGCCCUGGUGGUGCGGUGGUUAAGAGCUAUGGCUGCUAACCAAAAGGUCAGCAGUUUGAAUCCAUCAGCCACUCCUUUGAAGCCAUAUGGGGCAGUUCUACUCGGUCCUAUAGGGUUGCUAUGAGUCCGAAUUGACUUGAUGGCAACAGGUUUGGUUUUUUUUUGGUUUAUAUGUCUAAUAAGAGUUUAAUAUCCAUAAUAUAUAAAGAACUCCUAGAACUCGACAACAAAAAGACAAACAACACAAUUAAAAAACGGACAAAGGAUUUGAAUAGACAUUUUUCCGAGAAGAUAUACAAAAGUCCAAUAAGCCCAUGAAAAGACACCAUUAACCAAUUGGCAUUCAGUAGAUUCUGAUUCAUGGUGACCCCAUGUGCGUCAGGAUAGAACUGUGCUCCAUCGUCCCAGUGGCUGAUUUUUUGGAGGUAGAUCACCAGGCCUUUCUUCCAAGGCAUCUUGGGGUAUACUUGAACCACCAACCUUUUGGUUAGAAGCUGAUCUUGUUAAAGAUUUGUAACACUCAGGGACCCCCGUUAAUCAUUAAGGAAAUGUAAAUCAAAGCCACAAUGAGUCACCACUUCACACCCACUAGGAUGGCUCUGAUCAGAAAAAUGAAAACAAGUGUUGGCAAGUAGUGGGGAAUUUGGAACCGUCAUGCACGGCUGGUAGGAAUGGAAAAUGGUGCAGCUGCUAUGGAAAUCAGUUUGGCAGUUUUUCAAAAGCUUAAACAUAGAACUGCCCCAUAGAGAACUACCAUAUGACCUAAAAAUUUCACUCCUAGGCAUACACUCAAGAGACUUGAAAGCAGGGACCCAAAUAGAUACUCGUACACCAAUGUUCACUGCAGCGUUACCCACAAUAACCAAAAUGUGGAAACAACCCAAGUGUCCAUCACUGGAUGAAUGAAUGAACAAAAUGUGGUAUAUCCAUACGGUGGAAUAUUAUUCAGCCAUAAAGAGAAAUGAAGUCCUGAUACAUGCUACGAAAUGGAUGCACCAGGAAAGCAUUAUGCUGAGUAAAAUAAGUCAGAUAUGAAAGGACAAUAAUAUUCUAUGAUCCCACUUAUACGAAAUAUAUAGAACAAGGAAAUGCAUAGAGACAAAAAUGUAUUAGUGGUUACCAGGGGCUGGGGGAGGCAGAGUUGGGGAGUGACUGCUGAAGGGGCCCUGAGUUUCUAUUUGGGGUGAUGAAAAGCUUUUGCAAAUGGAUAGCAGUGAUGGUUGUAUAGCAUAGUGGAUGUGGUUAAUAUUUCAGAAUUGUACACUUAAAAAUGGCUAAAAUGACAUAUUUUUUUGUUAUAUAUAUUCUAUCACAGUUUAAAACAAAAAAAGGUCCUGUACUUCUUUCACAGGGCCACUGUAGCAGCCAACAUCAUGGUAUAACUCAAAUCCAGAAAGGACCAUGAGAGGCUUUGUGUAAUGUGGGGACAGAAAGCAGAGUGUCACACAGCAAUGGGGGAGUGACAGGAAAGAACGAGGGGGAGGAGAUAAGGACUCCCAGUACGCCUUAGGGAAAUAGCAUGCGAUGGACAAUCAGCAGACCUGGGUUCAAAUGCUGCUGUGCCACUGGCUUGCUGUGUGACCCUCAGCGGGUCCCCUGCCCUCUCUAGGCCUCACAAGCUGGUCAGAUUGGAUGACUCCAGUGGUGCAUCCCCUUUAGACCCUCAGAUUCUCUGAUGUGCAGCCUCAGGCUCUCAAGUGCUUGGCUAGGGAAGUUGCUCACAAUUCCCAAGCACCUUCACUCCCAUCUUCCUGCUUGGAGGACAACAACAGUAUUCCAAGAAUACUCCUGGUGUAAGCAGCUGGCAGAGCUGAGGAUGGUCAGUGGCUAGUGCCCCUGUUUGGGCUGGGUGACAAUCCCCAGACCCCACCUGUCUGCUUUCCCUGUGGUCACCUGCUGGGGACAGUGGGCAUUGGGCAAAUGUGUCCCAGGCACUGUGCCUGGUGCUGAGGCACAGCAGUGAGCAAGGUAGAAUUAAUUCUUGCUCUCAUGGAACUAACAUGCAGAAAACAGACUGGUCAAUACGUUGCCAUUGUCAUCCGCUAUUGUGUCAGCCCCUGACUCAUGGCGACCCCAUGCACAACAGAAUGAAACAGUGCUUGGUCCUGCACCAACCCCAUGAUUGGUUGUGGAUCAGACUGUUGUGUUCCAUAGGGUUUUCACUGGAUGAUUUUCAGAAGUAGAUCACCAGGCCUUUCUUUUUAGUCUGGAAGCUCCGCUGAAACCUGUUCAGCAUGCAAGCCCCCUCUGACAGAUAGGUGGUAGCCACACGUGAGGUGCACUGGCUGGGAAUCAAACCUGGGUCUCCCGCGUGGAAGACGAGAACUCUACCAUUGAAGCACCUUUGAGCAAUACAUUAGAAACAUAAAUAUUGAACCACAUAUCACAGGGAUGCCUGAGGGUCAGAGCCAGCAGGGCCUAAGAGGCCAGGACAAGGCGUUUGGACUUUAUUCUAACUGUGAUGGGCACCCAGGGAGGGUUUUAAGAAGUAAAGAGACCCUGUGAUUUUUGUUUAAAAUGCCAAGGCUGCUGUGUAGAUAAAGGCCAAGAGUGGAAGCAGGUGACCCCUGAGGAGGUUGGUGUGAUGCCUGGUGAGUAAUGAAGUGAGCCUGGGAAUUGGGGUUCAGCCCUUGGCAGGGGUCAGAAUGAGACGGAGAGAUCUAUGGAAACAGCCAGCAGCAUCCUGGAGAGCUUUUGGAGGUGGACCAGGGGCAGCCCCCGCCGAGUCGAAUCUAGUCCCGUGCCAGGGUAAGAGCGGGAGGCUGGCUUUUGCCCCAUGGACUUUUGAAGUUCUGUGCUCUGCUCUCUGUCCUCCCCCCCACCCCGCCCCCAUGUGUUACUCCAGAGAAAGGAAGAUGAGCUUGUGUGUGUUUGUGUGUACGCGUGUGUGCAUUUGUAAAGGCCCAUGUUUCUCAAGUAGAAACCAUACCACUGGGAAAAUGGGGAAGCUGGGGCCCAGGGCAGGAAUGUGGCCAUGGGCCCCUCAGGGAGGAUAAGUCAGGGACCACACUGCUCAGUUCCUGCUGACACAGAGGUUUCAGCAUUCUCAGAAUACCUGGGGUCAAAAAGGAGGAUCCCUAGGUCGGUCUGACUCCCUCUGACUCAGUGUGAGGCCGGUGGCUGUAGCCCUUCUCUGAGCCUCGACUUCUUUCAACUGCACCACUGCGAUGAUAAUGACACGGUUAGGUUGUCAUGAUCUACGGGAUGUAAUGUAUGCAAAGCCCUUAGCACAGUGCCUGGUUCAUUGUAAGUGCUCAAUAAUUGAUCUUGGCAAUGACACUGCUAAUUACUGUUAUAACCAUAAUAAUUAUCAGGGGAGACCUGCUCACAAUUUUCAGUCCCCAGCAGAACCACAGAGACCAGCUUGGUCCAGUCAGGGAGAAUUCAGAGGGAGUGCCCCUUAUUCCUGUUCCCUUUAUCUUGGCCACUGAUGUCACCUGUUCUCAGGCCCUGCAGGUCCUCUCAUGUUCAAAGUGAAAGGUAAAGGGUCAAAGAGAAGAAAGAUAACCUGCUGCAGGGAGGACAGUGAGAGACACAUCCAUGCCUCAUAGAAAGGUGGCAUUUGAGCUAGACCUUGCUAUCAGAUUGGAGCUUCCCAUGCCAGGAUGGCAUUGAUGAUGGAAGGGAGGAGUCUGGGCCAGGGUUUGGAGGCAGAAAAACUGUUCUUCCUUUCAGGUAGGCAGAAAAAAGAGUGGCUCAUUUUGACCAUAGUGAAGAGUUUGCCGUGGGAGGGUGGGGACAGGCCGUGGCUAGAUCAUGGAUGACAGGGCAGGGGAGCCUGCUCUUCGCCUGGGGUGAUGGGGAGCCAAGACUGUUUCUGAGCAAGGGAGGACCAUCCUCAGAGCUGGGCUUCAGGAAGAUGGCUCUAUCAGCCUGCGUUCACGCAAGAGACUGGGAGAUCUGCCCGGAAACCACUAGAGUGGCUGAGGCCAAGGAUGCUGAGGCCUCGCCUGAGGCAGUGAGAGUGGGGAGGGUUUCAGAGAUAUUAAGGUCGUAGAAUCAACAAGUCUUGCUAACUACGUAAUUAGAAGUGGUAGGGUUCAGGCAGGACGCAGGGUUGACUCCCAGUUGCUGGGGCAACUGGGUGGUUGAGAUGAAGGAGACUAAGAAUGGAAGAGGCUUGGGGAGUUGACGGUGGGGUAUCUCUGGAUACGUUGAGUUUGCAGAACGCGUGAGUCCUCUCUAUGGGCAUUUGACACUGUAGCUCCAGACUUAGAGGUCUCAGGAGUAGGGAUGGAUAUAUUGAGGCAAUGAUUGUAGCCCCACGUUAGGCUGGUGUGUUGAGGGAAAGCGGGAUGGGGUACAGCUGCUGGUUGUACCUGGUCGAGACAGGCUUGUCUCUCCUCCACUGCCAUCCUCCCUCUCCUCACCUUACACUUCCUUUCUGGCCCUCACUUAGCUGCGUCAUUUUAAGGAACUUGGAAACCAGGCCUCGUGUCUUUAACUUACAAAAUUAUACACUCCAAUGAGCCGGAAAGGGGCUUUUGGAAUAAUUCUAUUGAAAAUAUGUGGGUUUUCGCCUUGAAAUGAUCUUCCUGAAAUUAUCCCCUUUCUCUCUUUAUAAAUAUUAAAAAGAAGGAAUCAAGGCUUAGUACUUUAAAUCCCUAUUCAGGGACUUUCCCUUUUGCCUCCCAGGAAUGCAACCAGUCAUUUUUGAGGAAGAAAAGGAGGAGGCCGGGUUGGUUCCUUUUAACACGACUUCCGCCCUCCACGAAAUCCACUUUUUGGAGGGCCCCUGGCCAAUCCCUCCUCAGCUUUCCCCCUUCAGCUAAGCUGGGAUUUGCUGGAAUAUAAUGGGCCAGUGGGGGGGUGUGGGGGAGAAGGAGGGACUCCAGGAGGGGACGGGAGAGGGAAAGUGGGGAAGGCUGCAAACAGAAAGACGGAGACAGAGACACGGGGAGAGAGAGAGAGAGAUUUUAAAAAAAAGAGGAAGAGAGAAAGAGACAGAGAUGCAGAGAGGUAGAGAGGAGAGACAGAAGGAGAAUAGCCCUAGGAGAGAAGUAUUGCUAAGGAGAAAGAGACAAAGACAGAGAGAGAUGGGCUGAGGAAAGAGACACACAGAGCUAGGGAUAGAGGAUUACAGGGAGAGGUAAAAUACAGGGAAGGAACCCUGGUGGCGAAGUGAUGAAGUGCUUGGCUGCUAACCAAAAGGUCAGUGGUUUGAACCCAGCAGAUGCUCUGCAGGAGAAAGAUGUGGCAGCCUGCCUCUGUAAAGAUUACAGCCUAGGAAACCCUAUGGUGCAGUUGUACUCUGUCCUAUGGGGUCGCUAUGAGUCAGAAUUGACUCGACGGCAAUGGGUUUUUUGGUUUUGGUUUACUGCUCACCAGACACUUGUUAAAUUAGACCCAGGAAGUCCCUGCCCUUGGGGAGCUGAAGUUCUUCUAGCUUAGGGGCUCCAAGCUUUGGCUUUAUAUUGAGUCACCAGGGAGCUUUGAAACUCCUGCUGCCUCAGCCACACCCAGGCAACAAGUAUGGUUUUAAAAUACAGAGAGAGAGAGUAAGAGCGAGCGAGCGAGAGAGAGAGAGAGAGAAAGUAGCAUGCAGAGAGAAAGAAAGAAAAGACAAAGGAGGAGAGAUACUGGGAGCAUGAGGGGAAGGACAGAGACAGAAGCAGAAAAUGCUGCAGACAGGCCCAUGGAAUGGAGGCAAGGAGGGAGCCCCCCACUCCCACCUCUCCCAUAUUGACAGACUGGCUAGAAAAGGGCCUGAGAAAUGUUAAGUCAGAGACUGAAGCAGGGUAAGGACGCUGUGAGGCAGUGGCCCACAGAGAGGAGUCACAGAGACUGGAUGGGCCUGUGUCUCUCUUGGGUUCUAAGCCAGCCCCAUGCGUGCGCACAAUGUGUGGUCUACUUUCUUAGACAAUGAUGCUGAGAUGGAUUACCCAAUAAGCAAGAUACGCACGGGUUUAAUUGUGCUUACUUACUAAUCCGUAGUGCGUGUGUACCUUGCUUACCCUACACUGGUGCAUACUGUGUUUGCUGGUUAAUCCACCCCUGCACUGGUGGAUGGGCUGGAAGCCCUCAUUCCCAGCCUGGCCUCUCUGGUGCCAGCCUCCAUUCUGUGACUUGGGGUUAUUAUGUGUUGGCUACUUUUGGAUACACAAAGGGGAGGGUGAGCAGAGAGGUCAACAGGAACACGGCUCCAGAGACCAGAGUUCAAGCAUUGGCUCCACCAACUAUUGCUCCAUCAACCCACAAGCCAUGGGAUUUAGUCUUCUGAAGCCCUGGUUACCUCAUUUGAGAAACGGGGAUCAUAGCACCUACAUCUUAGAGUGGGUUAUUGUGCCUCUAUGAGACAUCACCUGUGCGGGGCUUAGCACAGCACCUGGAGUAGUACUGCUCAACCUAUUACCAACCAGUUGACGUUGUCCAUCCUGGAGUCCUGGGGCUCACCUAUGAUCUUUCUGUGAGCUCAGAAUUGACUAGCACUGACCCCAGAGACCUGGGUGUAAAACCAUAUCCCACAAGCACCUCGAAAGGGGAAAUCUGCAGAGGGAAGUGAGUAGGAAGUCUUUGUGGCUGGGAGAGUUCCAGAGAAGGCUUUUUCAGGUAGCACGUCAGAUAAGUAAGGGGUGCUGGGUGGGUUUAACUGGUCUCCACCUCCCUGAAAGGGACCGAGUUGCUGGCCCAUGUCUCCUGUGCGACCUCCAGCAGGUUUCAGCCUCUCUCAGGGCUUCUGCCUGCCUGUAUGACCAAGAGGGGCUUGGACUCCAUGUUCUGUAGGGGUCUUUGAGGUCCUAACAUUUGGGGUUCACCUGGUGGGGGGUGGGAGUGUGUCCCCUUCUCCCCACAGCCCUCCCCCCCGACCAUCAAGACUGCAGUGGGAACAGAGGCUGCCGCCUUCUGAAGGAUCUGUCACAAAGCUCGGUGGUUGGUUACCGGUUACCACAUAAGCCAAGCCCUUGAUCUGCCGCAUUUGAGGAAGCCCUUUGUUCCUUUCAAGUCUCUAUUCUUUCAGCCAGGCCUGGUGCACAGACCGAAGUACUGCAUUUUCUCUUUCUUCCUUUUCUUUUUGGAUUUUUAAAAAUAACUGGCUUGUGCAUUCAGGCAGUGUUCCAGAAUUGAGUUCCCAGGCCGGGGUUCAGGGCGAGACACUCCAGCAGCCCCCAGUCCUGGGAAGGCCCAGUGGGAAGGGAAAGCCUAAAGACAGACUGUUGUUAUUAGUUGCUGAUGAGUUGAUUCCAACUCAUGGCGACCCCAUGUGUGCAGAAUGGAACUACUCCAUAGGGUUUUCAAGGCUGUGACUUUUGGAAGCGAAUUGCCAGACCUGUCUUCUGAGGUGCCUCUGGGUAGGUUUCGAAUGCCAACCUUCUGGCCAGUAGUCAAGAGCUUAACUGUUUGCACCACCCAGGGACUCCAGAGACUGGGGGAGGGGCAGUAAACAGAUGGCAGAGAGAGAGAGAGAGACUCAGAAAUGAACACAGACACAGCAAGGCAAGGCUGAAGAGCAUACACAGAACAAUGGGGUUUAAAUUCUGGCUCCAGCGCCGCCAUGCUGGGCCUCACCGGAGUGCUCCCAUUCCCUUUCUGGCCUUCCAUAGUCUGAAGUAUAAGACGAGAGGCCAUUACAGUGUUGGCCGCCUCCCUCCAUUGCUGGGCCCAUGCCAGAUAUUGCUAAUCAAUCGCCAUUCCCUGUGGAGCUGGAUGAGCCCUGAGAGUCCUUUUCGACACAGUGCUCUGGGCACCUACUGCUUAUUGGAUUUGCAUGCAAAGUAAGACCCACCUCACCCUAGGGCAAGAUAUCUCCAAAGGACCAGGGUGAAGUAGGUACUCAAUAAAUGUUUGUUGAACUAAUGGAUUUUUUUUUCAGCCCUUACUACAUGGCAGGCAUUGUUGGAAGUACUGGUCUAAGUACGAACAAAAUAAAGUUCCUGACCUCAAUCUAACAUGUGGGGGAGACAGGCAAUAAGCAAAUAAGCAGGUGUGAUCAGUGCCAUGAAGAAAAAUGAACCAGGGUAAAGCAGUAGACAGUGACAGACUGUGGGCAUGGAUACAUUUUGGAAAGAUGGUCAGAGAAAGUCUUCUGAGGAGGUGACACUAGAGCAGAGAACUCAGCAAAGUAAGACAGUCUCUUAAGAUUCCCUAAUUCCAAGACUUAGAGAAAAAUUUUCUUUUGACUCAGAAUCCAAUUUCCGUUGAAUAAGAUUCUGGAAUUUCAUGCAUUUAGAGGCCUAUAUCGAAAAUUGGAGUCCUGGUGGUGCAAUGGUUAAGAGCUAGGCUGCUAACCAAAAGGUUGCCAAUUCGAAUCCACCAGCUGCUUCUUGGAAACGCUAUGGGGGCAGUUCUACUCGGUCCUAUAGGGUUGCUAUGAGCUGGAACUGACUCAAAGGCACAUAACAACAAUAACAUAUUCAAAAUUAUAGAUUUUCUCUGCUCUCACUUUCCAUGACAAUGAUUCUAGAAUUCUGUGACUCUGAAAUUCUAGGAUUCACUGAAGCAUCUUUUUACUUGAAUAGACCAAGAUUCAUUGCCUACCCUCUCCCCACUACCCUUAGGAAGUGGAUCCAAAAAUAGAAGCCGUCAAAACAACCACCAUUCCAGCUCUAAGUGCCAUAGUAAACAAAUGGCUCAAUGUUUCUCUCAUGGUUUAAUUGCUGCAGUUCCAGACAAGCUCAUUCACGAAGGAUCUUCUGGUGAUGGAGAGGAGGGGUGGGCAGCCCUUCAUUUCUCUGACUAGCCCAGCUCAGAGGAUGACCCCAGGAGUUUCAGUGCCUUUCAACUGCACCGUUGGCCCCUUUGGCUCCAGGGACUAUAAUGUCACCUGUUUGAAGGGCAGAGAGGAGCAUCCAGCCUCAGCUCAGUGCCUGGCAGCUGAGGAGAAAGGCCAUUACUCCAUCACCAGCCAGACAUGGUGACAAUGACCCAGCAAGAUGUCACAUCCAAGAUCACCUGUGAAGCUACCCAUAGGACCUUAGCAGAGCCCCUGCAAGAGACCACGAAUCUCUCCAAAGUGCUCCAAGAUCAUUGCCAAGCCCUCUGUGAACGAAGUCCAUGCACACAAACAAGUGAAUCUCACCUGCCAAGUGGACCGCUUCUACCCCUCUACCCUGCACCUCACCUGAACGGAGAAUGGUUACGUCAUCCUGACCGUGGAGUCUCCCCAGGUUACGAGAAACCCAGAUGGGACGUACUCUCUGAAGCACGUGUUGCUGGCAGAGACCAAGCGAUCCAGGCCAGCCACAAGCAUCCGAUGUGACCUGGCUGAAAAACAGCCUCGAACUCCCAGAGACCCGGACCAGCAUCCUCCCUUUCGGGAACACCUUCAAUAUGAGCAGCAAUGUGCUUGUCCCACUGAAGGAGGACGACAUACUUGCUCUCCGCCACUGCCGCAUCAAGUACAACUCGGCUCUGGCUUUCCAGAAAACCAUCAGCCUGGACCAGCACCUCCAGGUGACAGUGUCCCAGUCUUCAGUCUCCUCGGAUUUGGUGGCUAUUACCUGCCAUGUUCAGAGAUUCUAUCCACAGACCGUGCAUUUCACCUGCCUCUCAUGCUGCCACCCCCACCUCCACCGUGAACAUGCUGCUUUCUGUUCACCUUCCUGACAUUCCUUACUUAGCACUUUUGAGCUGAGUCAAGGGUGGUGAUGGCUAUGGACUUUGGUCAAUGGGAGUCAGGGAGGUCUGGAUGAUGCCUUCACUGAGCUUCAAACUGGCCCUGCCUCCACACGAAGAGAAUCAAGCAGACCCAGAAAUUGGGCUUCCAUUCAGCCUCCGAUCAUGAACAACUUGCCGAACGAUUUUCACUUUUAUCCAUAGGCUUUGCAAGUAUUAUUACAUUUUAAUACAUAUUUUGAAAUCACUGGUAAGCUGAAUAGGAAUUUUUCUGUUCUGAAUGAUUUCAAGCAUACUAAAAAGUAUAAAGAAUAGUAUAAUAAAUAUCCAUGUGCCUACCAUCCUAUCUGUGCAAAAUAUUAACACUUUGCUGUUAAGUUCUUCAAUUCCUUUUGUAAAUUGCUGUGUUGAAUUUUGUGUUUGUCAUUCCCAAGCAUGAUUUUGUACUUUUAUAACAUAGGUGUAAAUCCUUAAGCAAUAUAUGAUUUUAUUUGAUAUGUUUUAGAUUUUAUAUAAAUGUUAUUGUACUGUAUACAGCAUUACAGAAUUUUAUUUUAUUUUUUCUGCUGAACAGAUUUUGAGAUUUAUUCAUGUUGAUACAUGUGGCUCCAUUUUAUUAUUUUCUUCACUGCUUUAUGGUCUUUGAUUGUAAGAAUAUGCCACAAAUUAUUGGUUCUUCUUGUGAUGGAUAUGAAAGCUUUUUGCUAUGUUUUGCUAGUACAGUUUUGACACAUCCAUUCUUAAGCUGGUUUCCAUGGGCACAUGUGGGAGAAUCUCUCUAGUUCCUCUAGUGCGGGCCUCACAGCUGCAGAGAGGCACAAAAAGAAGGUUUCAAAUUUUGCCUUUACAUUUAUGGCUUUAAUCUACCUAGAUUUUUCUGGUAUGAAUGUAUAUGUGUGUGUGUGUAUGAGACAGAGAGAGAGAAAUAAGUGGAAGGGGUCUUUUUUAUUUAUUUUUUUUCUAAAAGGAUAAAUUACCCAGCACUCACUGGUAUGUACUGCUACUUUGCCAUAUAGCAAGCUUCCAUAAAUUUGUGGGUAAUUUCAUGAGCUCUUUAUUUAUUCAACUGAUCUACUUCUCCCUUUGCCAAUACAACACUGUCUUAAUUAGAGUGUUCUUGUUAGCUUCUGUUAAGUUGGCUCCCCCAUGGCAACUUCAUGUACGACAGAGGGGAACUGCCUCAUCUUGCCCCAUACUGUUGGUAUGCUCGAGUCCAUUGUUGUGGUCAUUGUGUAUUUUGAAUGCCUUCCAACCCAGGGGGCUUAUCUUCCAGCACUAUAUCAGACAAUAUUCUGGUGUGAACCAUAGGGUUUUCACUGGAUACUUGUUGGCAGUAGAUUGCCAAGCCCUUCUUCCUACUCUGUCUUAGUCUGCAAGUUCUGCUGAAACCUAUGUACCGUGAGUGACCCUGCUGGUAUUUGAAAUACCAGUGGCGUAGCUUCCAGUAUUAGUUGCAGAGAAGUGGCCUUUAUAUUUAAAAGACAGCUUGAUCAGAUAUCAAAUAUUUGGCUCACUUUCUUGUCUCUCGAAUUUCUAAUAGUGUUUGUGUAUUUUUAACAUUGAACAUUGAUUUUACCUAAAAGAGUUGGUGUGAAAAUUUAAUGAGGUUACCCACAUAGAGUGCUCAAAGCAGUAUCUGGAGCAUAAGUCUUCAGUAAGUGAUAGCAGCUACAACUCCUUUAUGUUGUAUAGAGUUGCAUCUAUUGUUUUUAAUUAGAUAUUUAUAACAAUAAUGUCUUCUUUUUCAGUUAUGUAGAUUUGCAGCAGGAAGGGAAGAUUUCACCAUGUGCUCAUGUGCUACAUUGAAAUAGGAUUUGGAUGGGCACAUGGUAACUUUCACAACUUCAUUUGAUAGUUAACCAUGGCAGGUGAGAGACCUGAGGUCCACCAUGGACAGAGUUUCCUAAAGCCAAACCUGUAUUAGCUCUAGACCCUGAAGAAGAAACUAUUUCUUCUGACAAGACGCUGCUGUUUCUAGGGUAUAUUGUGUUGGGGAGAUCUGGUGAUCUCUUCCUGCACACAGAGAAUAAUUACAACCAGAAUUAAUUGGUUAUAAUGAAUUGUGAGCACAGCAUUUUGCAUGGAUUGUUUUAUGUUAUUCCUACCAUGGCUCUACAAGGUGCGUGUUAUUGCCUCCAUUUACAUAGAAUCAAACAGGCUGGAGAAGCCUGGUGUCACAGGAGGAAUCAAACUCAGCAUCUUUCUGAGGCUGAGUCUUCUAGUGAUGGGGAUCUAGAAAUCUGGGAUUUCCUAAGAACAAAUCCCAGACAGAGAGGACUAGAGCAAGCCAGUAAAGGGAAUGUUGACGGGUAGCUUUCAGGAAGAGCAAUGCCAGGCUUUGGACCUCAGUGUGGGCCAGACGUGGACAGGGAUGACUCUCCUUUCCCUUCCACUCUCUGUCCCACUCAGCUCUGGGCGCCCACAGAUACGGGUACAUAGAAGAGCAUGCACCUGCCCCUUAGGCAUCCAUACCUUAACGCCUUGAUGUAUCCAAUCCAAAUGGUACUGCUGAGUUUAAAUAGGAGACAACUAAUGGAGAGCCUCAAGUGGGGCUGCUGCCCGCUCAGUGGAUUAACAAAGGGCAGGAUCCAGAGAGGGAGCAAUUGAUCCUGGAGUGGAAGGGGCUGUCCAGUGAUAAGCUGGGUCCCAGGAGGACCAGAGAACCUGGAGAAAACCACUGGGGAGCAACUGACACCAUGCUGUAAGAACUCAUUCAAAAGCAAUUUUUGAGUUUCCUACUUCAUUUGCACCUUUGUGGUGCAAAAGGUUAAUGAGCUUGGCUGCUAAAGGAAAGUUUGGAGGUUCGAGUCCACUGAGAGGCAUUUCAGAAGAAGGCUUGGUGAUCUAACUUCCAAAAAACCAGCCAUUGAAAACCCUAUAGAGCACAGUUCUACUCUGACAUACUCUAACAUACACCAUGAGUUGGAAUAGAGGUGAUGGCAACUGGUCAGCUGGUUAAUUUGCUUGGUGCCAGAACUAUCAACAAUUACAUAUUGAGUCUCAGGUGUACUACACUCAUGAUCUCCUUUAAUCUCCGCUAAAACACUGCAAGGCAAGACUUCUUAUGAAAUGACAGUUUAGAGAUGACAAGACUGAUCCUGGGGAUGUCUGGCGACGUGCCUAACUCCUUAGAAGGCCCUCUUGGUCUGGACAUUCAUCCUCCCUCUCUCUCCAGUUCCACUCGCACAGAAGUGGUACAUAGAAUAGGUGCAGCACAAAGGGUAGUGACUGUUCCCUCCCCCAGGAAUCUGCUCACCAUUUGCUCCUCCCAUCACAACCCUGUCCCCUCUUCAUAACCCAUAAUCCCCACCUCACCCCAUAAAGCAGAUAUUUGUUAACCUUAACCCACCUCCUCUCCUUGGAGCCAGGAAAGGAUUCCUUUGUGGGUUCAGGGGCAUGCAAUUUCUGAGGUCCACAUUAGACUGUGCCUUUGGGCUAAGCUUUACCAGUGACAUCAGUAAAGGGUAGGAACCAAGCAGACCUGGGUCCACUUCAACGUUGGCCAGGUUCUAGAGAGCCCUCCUCCUCCCUCCAGCAGGGUAGUUCUUGGUUGAAAAUGGUACAAAAUGAGAUCAUAGUCAGCCAUAUCCUAUGGUCCUGGGCCUGGGAGUUUGGGGAACAACCCACAACCACAGGUCCUUCUUGGCCUGGGGCUUCUGAAUGGAGACCUCAAAAUGAGAUGAGGAGCCAAGCAGAGAGAGCACAGGCCCCAAGAAGGGGAGGAAGCAUUAUUUCUUCUAGGCCUGUCCAAGCUUCUCGAAUAUUUACUAUGAGUCACUCCUCACCUCAAAUGACCUUAUCUGCCUGCUUUUUAUUUCACAAUCUAGAAGAGGUGUCGUCUCAUGGACAUUUUCCUCUUAGGUCAAAGCUACUUCCUCUUAGAUUGCAGGAGGCAGGGCUUCUCUUCUCUCUGCAGAGCACAGCCCAGGCCUCCCCAACACAGACAUUGGCACAGAGCAGACCUCGUGGCCUCCAGGAUGCCCAUUCCUGCCUCCCAGCCCCACCAGCCUCUGCUCUCCCUGCUGCUGACUCUGCUGCUGGGACUUACAGGAACAUCACCCCAGAAGAUGCCGACAUCUACUUCUGUGUCAAGUUUGGGAAAGGGAGCCCUGACAUGGAGUUUAAGUCUGGUCCCAGGACAAAGGUGACUGUGAGUGAUCAGGGAGCUGAGGGCUGCAGGCAUGCUAUUUGCUCAAGUCCCCGCAGCUGAUAAAAGGUGGAAAAAAGUCUGGAAACCUAGUCAGCCUGGAUCUAAACGCUUGCCUUUCCCAAUCUGGUCCCCGUAGAUGUGGGAACUGACAGUUUGGGUGACUUGCCAAGUCACAGGGACAAACCUCGGCUCCUGUCCCCAGAUUCUUCCCCUGCAUUGUGGUCGUGUCUUCUCUUACUCAACAAACACUUGCUGAGGACCUACUGUGUGCCAGGCUCUGCUCUCAUUGGAAACAGGCAAGGAACAAAGUGGGCAAAGGCUCUCCUCCCAGAAAGCUUCCAUUCUCUUCCCCUCCGAGGAGAGGGUUGGUCCUGGGCAGAGAUUGCCUUGUGGAUUCAAUCUGCUGAUCUUUUGGUUAGCAGCUGAACUCUUAGCCACUAUACCACCAGGGUUUCCAUAAUAAUCCUUGAUCCGCCAACAAAAUGUCUGAAAUUUCAUUUGCCAUGGUACGUUAACCGUGAGUAACUGCAAAAAAUACAGACUUUGCUGCUAGCUCUUCAGUUCACAGAUCACUGCAUAAAUACAGAUGCACACCAAGAUCAGCAACGAACCACAUGACUUCUUUCAAAGUUCAGCUGAUCUUAGGAGGGAGAGAGGGAUUGGCCCAAUCAAUCAUGACCAUGAAAUGAAGUCAACAAAAGCUUGGGACACAGAAGUUCCACAGGCUUCCUGGUUGGUGAAAGACAUCGCUGCUCGUGGGAUGGCAGCACAUCCGUUUUGGGGACACAGAGCUCUACGCUGGGAACCCACCUAGACCUUGCCCUACAUAUCUCUUUAUUUAUAUCCUUUUUUGCUAUGAUAAAGCUGUAGUCAUAAAUAUAGCACUUUUUGUGAGUUCUAUGAGUUGUUCCAGCAAAUUAUCAAACCCAAAGGAGUAGUGAGAGCCAAAAGAUUAGUAGUGAGGGAGCCCAGGGGACACCGAACCUUGUAGCUGGCAUCCUAAAGGGGUAGAAGAAAACCUUGAAUUUGUAGCCAGCAGGUCAGAAGUGAGGGUGUUGUGUGGACUCUUGAACUUUUGGCUAGAAUCUGCCUAUUCGGCAGUCUGAAGAACAAGUACCCUUUUCACUUGUGAGAUCUGACCUAGGUCCAGGUGGGGAUCAGAGAAAGAAGUGAUGUGUGGGCAGCUGGUGUCAGAACUGAAUAGAGAAGUGGAAAAGUGGAUAUUUUAUGCUUGAGAUUUUGAGAUUUAUGGACACAAUAUCAUAUUCCUGUAAAUAAGACCGGCCAUUAGAGAUGAUUGUUAAAGCUACAUAAUGGUACCUGAGAAUCUAUUUUUACUAUGCUGUCUAAUUUUGUAUGUUUAAAAAGUUCAAUAAUUAAAAAGGAAAAAGAUGCCCAGUAUACCCAAUGGUAUUGUUAGAUAGUAUUUAUGCGGUCAUGCAGUGAAAUUUAAUGGUAGAUUUAGAAAAUUUAAUAAUCUCAGUUUUUCCCAAAAAUAUUCCUCAUGUCUUAGAGUUUCCUGGAUUCUUAACGUUAUUCUAGGGUAUGUUUUUCAAUAAGAAAAAUAAAAUGUAAAAAUUCAGAAGCUAUUCUAAAACACCUAAUAUGGUACCUGACAUGAAGGCAUGAAAUGCCUAAAUGUUGAUUGCCUUCUCCCUUCUCAAGACAAAGAAUAUAUGCCUAUUCUCUGGUGAACGAGCCAGCACAUUAGAAAAAUAAGGUAAUUCCAACUCAUCACUAUUUUGGGCUUCCUCUUCUUCUCUUGGUGCCAGUCAGUAUCCUUAGAAGACAAACCUAAGGGAAGAAAGAGAAGCUGUGAGAAAGCAGACCUCCUGUAAUGCUCCCAGAGUAGCUCUUCUGAGCCAUGGAAUGGAAGGAAGCACCCACUUUACUCAGCUGUGGCCCCUAAAGCAUUCUCACCCCAACCUGAAGUCUUGAUAAUACCCCUCUUCACCUUUCCAGACUCCAACAACUCUCAUCUUUUGCUUUACGUUUUUGAGUCAGUUUCUUCCUGGUCUCAAUAUCCUCCCUGUUCUUUGAAGCCAAAAUCUUCUCCCAGUCCUCAGUCUUUGGGCAGAAGGAUCAGGCAAAGUAAUGACUCCAGAGUCAGUGUAGCGACUGCCUUGAAAUUCUGCCAUAGGGCCAGUUGUAAGUUAUUUCAUCUCAAGACGGAUUUCUGCUGCCUGGGGUGACUUUUUCAAAUCUCAGUUAUAAAAUCCCCUCUUGUCUCCCUGCAUCCAGGACCUGUGUGAUGGAGAAGCAACUUGAUGCUGCUGGGUCCUUUCUUGUGUGUUCUAAACUCAUGCAUCUUCAGCAGGGAUCCUGUGCGCUCACACUCACCUCAUUCAACAAUCACAGAGUCUCAGUCUACUCGGGUUCUCUGGAUUUUUUUUACCUUUAUUCAUUUCUGGCUUAUAAGCCCUUGAGUCUGUUCCGUGACACUCUCCCUUACCUAUCAAAAUUUACUGCGCUGCUCUUGCAUCCACAUCUCAGAUUCAAGCUCCAUGUUCCAGAUCAAUUUCUGCUACCUGAGUCAGAGAAAAGAGAAUACAGCCUAAUGCAUGUGGAGGAUGAACCUACUCUAAUAUCUCUUUCCAGACCAAUUAGGGCAUGCAGCAGUCAGCUUCUGACUCCCCUGGGCCAGGGUUGCAGCUCUGUUCAAUUCUCUAUGUCUCUGUACUCUGAGGAGUUUGGGGGUCUGAACUGAGUCCCUCCAGGUCUCACAAUGACUUCUACAAAGAUAACACCACACCUUCAUGUGGUCCAGAGGAGGGAGGUGGUAGGAGCUAUGACACCUUUAGAAGCUCCUCAGACACCCUGGCCAGGAUUUUAGCAGGUAUGACUUCAGUCCUACUGCUGCCUUGUUGCUGUUGUUAGCUGCCGUUGAGUCUAUUCCAACUAAUGGUGACCUCAUGUGUGGAGAGUAGACUGCUCCAUAGGGUUUUCAAGGCUGUGACCUUUUGGAAGCAAACUGUCAGGCCUGUCUUCUGAAGAGCCCCUGGGUGGGUGCGAACUGCCAACCUUUCAGCUGUCAAAAGCUUAACUGUCUGUACUACCCAGGGAAUCCUUACUGCUGCCUACCAAGGCUAGCUGGGGUUCCCCUAAGACACUCUCCUAACUCAUCCCCCAACACUGUAGGCAGAGCUGCUCACACCCUCUUCUGUCCAGCCUGAACAUGUCACCUUAUUCAAACCAUAUUGCAAUUUUUCUACUUAAAUGUCUGUUUUUACCAGAAUAUGAACUUCUGGUAAGAAGAAAUGCAUCUUAGUCAUUUUGUUAAUCCUAGUGAUUAGCAGGCUUUUGUGGCAUAUUUUAUCAUUUCCCCUUACUAUCUGCUUCUCCAUAAAAGGAUUAUACUUCCCUGCUCUUGAUAUCAAGCUUGACCUAUGACUUCCCUUGGGCAAUGCGUGUGAGUAAAACUGACAGUGCGAUUUCUAAGGAUUGCGUGACUCCGUCCUCUCUCUUGUUCUUUUUCCUCUGCCAUGACAGCAACAUGUUCCCAAAGGGAGGGCUCUCCUUCGGCCUUGGUUCUGGUGUAAGUCAUGGUGUAGAGCUAAAACCAACCUACGAAGGAUGAGGAAUAUGGCUGGGUUUCAGGUUAGAUCGCUGUGAGUUUUGGGGGUCAUGUGUUAUUGUAGUACAACUUAGCCUAAGCUGAUAAUUAUAGCUCUCCUCCUCCUUGUAGUGCUAGUAUCAGUAACUAAGCAGGUGCUGUACUAAACAGGUAACAAAGAGCCCCAGUGGCACAGUGGAUAAGAGCUCAGGCUGCUAACCAAAAGGUUGGCAGUUCGAAUCCACCAGCUGCUCCUUGGAAACCCUAUGGGGCAGUUCUACUCUGUCCUAUAGGGUCAAUAUGAGUUGCAAUUGACUUGAUGGCAAUGAGUUUGGUUUGAGUUUUAGUACUAAACAGAGUUCCAGUAAUCUUCAUAACAUAGCCAAAGUGUAGACUCCACUAUUAUGCCCAUUUCACAGAGAAGAAAACUGAGGCAUUAAAAAGUUGGUUUAUUUGUCCCUAAAAUCAUAUAUAGAUAUCAGGUUUUAGUGCCAAGGCUAGAAUGCGAAAUUUUCAUUCCAAAACCCCUUUUCUUCACCAAUGCGUAAAAUAAAGACCACUGAAAAAAUGAUUACAUGAAAAAGUAGAGUGACCAGAUGUCCGCAGAAUUCAAAACUCAUGCUGAAGAAGGCAGGACUCUCAGAGUGAAGUGGACGAAAAGUUCGUUCUGUAGGGUGAUAACUAAAAGAAGCUUUGACUAACAUGCUCGCGCUAGGGUUCCCUAACUAAUAUUUGCACUUCUCUGUAUUUGUACAUGAAGUUUCUGGGGAUGCAUUAGGUGUUCUUACACAGAAACACGGAAGAUGAAAUAGUCCUGUCGGUCAUUACAGCUUGCAGCUGGACCAUGUGGUUAAAGCCUGUGCCCCAUUCUCAGGGCCAUAGCUGCUACUGCAAGACUGGUAGAAACUACUGCAGAUAUAAUUUUAUGGAACUUUUUAGAUAUAUAUAGGUACCCCAUGUUGUGUCUGCUUUACUUCAUUUGGCUUUAACUCAACAUUUAUCUGCCAGCAGACUCACCUCCUAUGAGGUCUUUCUUCUGGCAGCUUCAAAUAUUAGACUACAUACUGUGGCUACUUUAAACCCAGCAACUCUUCUCUCUGUACCUGAUAAAGACAAUUGUCCUUACUAUGACUGUUUAGCUCUAACUGAGCAGCUUUUGACUCCCUAUAAUGCCUUAAAGGAAACUCCUUAAACAAACCCUGAUAUGGUGUUAUUUGUAGAUGGCUUGUAUUUAAAACCAACUCCUGACUGUCAUUAUCAGGCUGGCUACACUGUUACAACUUCUCAUGAUGUCUUUGAAAGCCAGUCACUUCCCAAAGCCACUUCAGCCCAACAAGCUGAACUUAUUGCUCUGACUACAAAAAACCCACUGCUCUUGAGUCGAUUCCAACUCAUAGCUACCCUAUAGAACAGAGUAGAACUGCCACAUAGAGUUUCCAGGGAGUGCCUGGCAGAUUUGAACUGCCGACCUCUUGGUUAGCAGCCCUGGCACUUAACCACUAUUGCUGUUCUAAAGCCCACAAAUUUGCUGAAGGGAAGUCCAUAAGUAUUUUUACAGAUUCUAAAUAUGAAUCCGGAGUCAUUAAUGAUUUUAGAAUCUUAUGGGAACAGGGUUUUUAACCUCUUCUGGUAACACUAUUAAAAAUGGGGCUUUAGUAACAGGCAUUUUAGAUGCCUUGUUGCAAAGGGAGUUCCAAAGGGAGUGCCUCAAACUGAACAAAUUAGAGGAAAUAACCUUGUUGGUGCAGCUGCUAAACAGGCUGCCUCCCAAAUUAUUGUUGCCCCUGUUAUAACAAAGGAAUUUAUAGAGGGGCCUCUAGAAGAACCUAUGGAGAACUAUUCCAAUGAAAUAACUAGUAUUUUUAAACCCACCAAAGAAAAGCUUUUAAGACAUCAGCAAUUAGCUCAGUCAGAUGAAAUUGGAACAUGGAAAAAGUCAGACUGUUACCAAGACCAUGACACCAAAUUAUGGUUACAGCCUGACACUAAAAUUUUUCUCCCUAAACUUUUUUGUGUCCCUAUGAUGAGGUCUCUACAUGAGAACACUCAUCUAGGAAGAGAUAAAAUGAUGGUAAUUUUAAAGAAAUACUGGAGGGGAAUAUUUUAUGAGGCAGCUGAGCAUGUGGACUCUUAUUCUGUUUAUCCUCACUAUAACCCUGGGAAACAUCUUAACACUUUACCUGGGGAAUACCCUUUGCCCUCUGGAGCUAUGCCUGAAUGGCUACUAGAUUUUAUCCAGCUUUGACCUUCCAAUGGUUAUAAAUUUGUCUUAGUAACGAUUUGUAGGUUUUCACAUUGGGUAGCUUGCCAAGCUUUCCAAAUCCUUAGGUUUGUCUUGGACUAAAGUUCUGUCUUCAGUCCUUCUAAAUUUAAGGAGCAUUAUUCCUUUUGGGUUUCAUAAACUCACUCCUUAUGGUAUCUGUUACUGAAAGGCCUAUGAUCCUACCUUACAUUACCUCUACCGACUCUAACUUAGUACAACCUGAAUUAUCAGAAUAUUGUCAACACAGUACUCUAAGAAAUACACAUACAUAUAUUUUUUCUUUACAAAUUAAAGAAGUAUUUGAGGAGCAAAACCCGAUUCCCCUUCUCUACUUGAUAUUAACCCAGAAGACUAUGUUUAUUGAAAAGGACACUAACGAAAAGAUUCUUUGGAACCUCUCUGGAAGGGACCUUUUCUAGUUCUUUUAACUAAUCCUUAUGCAGCGAAACUAGAAGGAAUUAACCCUUGAAUUCAUUUAUCACAGUUAAAGAAAACUAAAGGACUUAUCUGGACUUGCCAGCCAACGGGAGAUUUGAGAUUCCGGUUGAAACGCCUCAGUGACCAGAAGCUGGCAACUUCAGAAGCAGGUAGCUGAUUUCAAGAUUGAGGAACAAGAUUACAUGCAAGCUGCUGAUAUUUGUGUACUCUAUUUCCUAACUGCUGGUAUUUUAAUAGUUUUUGUUUCCAAUUGCCAAUCUGGCACAAAGGGUCCUUGUCUUUUCCCAAGUAAGAAUACAUGUGAAAGACAAACUUUACCUUCAGCAGGCUUUAUUUUGCUUGAGUCAAGCAAAAGGAGUCAGCAAGGAUCUAAGCCUCUCUAAAAGACUGACUUGAAAAGGGAAGCAAGGCUAGGGCUUAUAUGGGUUCAGUGGAGACAACAGAGUAAUGAAUAUUUAGUGGGCUUCUUUCAAGGGGUGGGUACUUCUCAGAAUGACAGUGUAUGUUAAUUAGGUUGCACACGCAUCUGGAAUCUAAGAUGGAACCCACUGAUAUUCAAGAGGGAGUCUUCUUGGCAGCCCUUGGCAUCACUUAUUAUGGAAUAUAGCACAAGUGCACUUGAUCUUUGGCACUACAUCGCCAUCUUCAGAGGGCUAAAGAAAGUUAAACAGCGGCCACGCUUUGUUCUUUUGUGCAUGCAGAGCCUGUAAAGGAAGAGGGGACUAGAAAAACACUAAGAAAGAGAUAGUAAUUCAUGAGUUGUUUCAAUCUCAUGUUGACAGGGUGGGUUCCUUUUACCCAGCUUUUAGGGUAAUCUUUUAACAGCUCUUUUGUUCCACCAGCACAGUUAACCCCAUCUGUCUCACAACAGGGUAUGGUUCUUGUUUACCAACUUCUAGAUGAUAAUCUUUUUACAGCUCUUUUGUUCAGCCACCGGCCCAGUUAACCCUAUGCCAGUUUUGACAGUUUUUGCACACUUGUGGAAUUAUUUCCUAAUGACUUUGGUCAUAAUCAAAUACUUUUAACCCUAACCUAGUCAAGUUGAACAUUUAUUGAAAUUAUUGCGCAUUGUUUAAUGAUUAUACCCUUUGAAACAAGUUUUGUUUUACUAACUUAGGCUCAUCUCCUAAUAUAAUAUCUUAUAAUUUCUGACUAACCUAUUGUCUUAGUCAUCUGGUGCUGCUAUAACAGAAAUACCACAAGUGGAUCGCUUUAACAAAGAAAAGUUUAUUCUCUCACUGUCUAGUAGGCUACAAGUUCAAAUGCAGGGCAUCGGGUCUAGGGGAAGGCUUUCUCUCUCUGUUGGCUCUGGAGGAAGGUCCUUGUCUUCAGUCUUCCCUUGACCUAGGACCAUCUCAGCACAGGAACCUUAAGGUUCAAAGGACAAGCCCUGCUCCUGGCACUGCUUUCUUGGUGGUAUGAGGUCUCCAACUCUCUCCUUAUUUCCCUUUUCUUUUAUCUCUUGAGAGAUAAAAGGUGGAGUAGGCCACAACCCAGGGAAACUCCCUUUACAUUGGAUCAGGGAUGUGACCUGGUAAUGAUGUUACAAUCCCGCCCUAAUCCUCUUUAACAUAAAAUUACAAUCACAAAAUGGAGGACAAUACAGAAUACUGGGAAUGAUGACCUAACCAAGUUAAUACACACAUUUUUGGGGGGACAUAAUUCAAUCCAUGACACCUAUUCUCCAUUAUGAAAUUUUUAGUAAGCAUUCUCUUUCUGUUUAUUAUAACCAUUGCUGAUGCUUGAAACAAAAGUUUUUCUUUUUUUAAUCAAAUUAAUCAGUAGCCAGUCCCAGCAAUUUAAAUGAAUGCUGGGUAUAUCACUCUUCCCCUCAGUCUACACAGGACCAUACUGAUCCACUUGCUGUACCAGUCUUAGAUCAUAAAUUCACAUCUAAUUUUUCUAUUCAUUUUGAAAAACUGUUUAAACAGACUAUUUGUGUCAAAUUAUGGCUCCCUCCAGAAUUGUCCACCUAUCCAUCAAUUCUGUUUCAAUUUUACUCGUGCCUGGUUAGAAUGUUUUAUUCUUUCUCCAACUUGUAACAUUUUUUAUUAAUGACGCUUGAUAUUAUUCCACAAUAGCAGAUCACUAUUUCAAAAAUGAUCAAAAUCUUCCAGUUUGUGCCCAACUCUGGGAUCCCCUAAAAUUUGGAGAAAUGCCCAUUUGUGAAGAUUUAUUCACUGUGGACUGGCCUGAGAGAGUCAAUCAGUCCAUUCCAUUUCCUAAUAUUUACACUGGGCGGGUAUUUUAUGUUCCUCAUCUGGAUAUGUCUUUUUAUGUGAAGCACCAACUUAUUCAGGAAAAAAAGUCCUUGCCAUAUUUAGAUGGUUGGGAUAUGUUAAGCCAAUGCACCUUAGGUACACUUGAUGUUCUCAUGAGUACCCAUUCAUACAGCAACAGCUUACUAUGGAACAAUGACUUGAAAUUAAUAUUCAUAUGGAAGAGAGAACUUAUCCUCUCAAAUAAUCAUGUUGCCCAUAGGCUUGGGUGGGACCAGUCAUUUCUUUGAGUGCUUGUUCCUUCCUUUGGUAUAUUACAAUUAGAACAAUCUGUUCUAAAUCUAUCUGCCACUAUGGCUCAAAUUGCUGAGAGUGUUGCUAAUGGAGUGACAGCUCAAUAGAAAUGCUUAGAUUCUUUUGUUACAGUUGUCUUAGAUCACUGAAUAUCCCUUGAUUUUCUCCUUGUUCAACAAGGAGGAAUUUGUGCUAUUGCUAAUACAUCUUGAUGUUCAUAGAUAUACACCUCUGAAGAAGCAGAACAAGACGUCCUUUAAAUAUGUCAAAAGGCCUUCUGGUUACAUACCAUCCCCCAUAUGACCAUACCUCCCUUCUUCGACAUUUUUAGCUGGUUACUGCAAAACAUCAGAUCUAGGAUACUCUUCUUUCUACUAGCCUGCCUACUACUUUUAAUCACUGUGACUGUUAUUAUAAAACUUGUUAAAUACAUUAUGCAUACGUUUCUUAUUGGCAUAGCCAGCCCUCAAGACAUCUAGCCAUGGAAAGAAUCAUGUAUUUAGAAGAAACUAAUUUUGCUAGGGUUUGGUUUUUCUUUUUUAGUUUUUAAUUUUGCUAAGGAGAAUGAAAUUUAGUUCUGGGAUCACAUCUUUUUGGAAUGCCAAGUUGUUCCUCUAAUGUGGUUCUGUUCGCAACACCCUCCCCCAUGAAAACCAACUCACCCUGAAGAUGAGGCCUGAAGCAAUAGCAAGGUAACAGUGAAUGGUUACCUCUAAUAAAAUAGCUGGCAUCUGAGGCCUCAAACGCUCAAAUAGAGCAGCCAUCCUGGAGAUAUUAAAUCCUUGCAGAAAAUGGAUGACUCCUCUGUGGUGAUCUGCACCCCCUAGUGACGGCUUGAUCCAAAGGGGGAGAUAAGUAAGCAGUUAGCAUGACUCAAACAGCUGUCCCAGAUCUAAAUUAAACUCCAUUUUGAAUCAAACUGCAGCUUGGACUAAAAUCUCUGUUUCUACCACUCUGAAAAGAUAAUUCAGCUUCUUGUAAAAGUUUGACUGGCUGUAAACCAAAAGGAGCAAGGGUGAAUAUUUUGGCUUGUGUGAGGAAUUGUUUGUUAAAUGAUAUUUGUCGAGAGUGUUUGCAUGGCUUCGUCCAAGAAGAAUGCUUUGCUGAACAAGUUGCAGGAGGUUAGAAAACGGAAAUGUUAACAUUAAGAAGAAUUGUAGUUUAAAACCUCCUUGUAACUUUUUGUCAUGUAUCCCCCUUGUGCCUGUGAGCAUGUAGGCCUUUGUUUAUUCCAUCUGAUAAAAACCUCACUGAUUCUGUAAUUUGGGACAUAGUAUCCUGUCUAGGGAAACCCUGGUGGCAUAGUGGUUAAGUGCUACAGCUGUUAAACAAGAGGUCAGCAGUUCGAAUCUGCGAGGCACUCCUUGGAAACUCUACGGGGCAGUUCUAUUCUGUCCUAUAGAGUCACUAUGAGUCAGAAUCGACUUGACAGCAGUGGGUUUGGUGUUGGGUUUUUGGUAUCCUGUCUAGAUGCUAUUCUGUCUCCCAAUUCACGAAUCUCUCCAUCUUUUGAUAAAACUCUUUGUUUAAUUUCUAACAGAGAGUCACACUAUUGCUUUGCUAUGAGAAAAUGUAAAUUAAAUAUAUAUGUCACUAGUUUAUAAAAUACUUCAAGGAUGAAAAUCUAUCUGUGGCUAUAAAGCAUAAUAUGAAAUCUGUGGAAAACAAACAUUAUAAGCACAAGUUGCAUCAUAAAAUUCUAUAUCUCAACAAUAUACCACGUAUUUGAUCUUCUAUUAGUUCCAUUUUAUUAUAAUAGUCUUAGACAUGGCAAAUGACAUAGUUUAUGUAGGGCAUCCAGAUUAUUAUUACUUUCCACUUUUUUUUUAAGUCCAUUGUGACAAAUCUAUUUCUUCAUAAGAAUAAACAGAGAUGUACACUUGGUGGGAAGGGAGAUGCCAUGUGAGGAUUGUCUACAAGCCAAGGAACAAAGAAACGCCCAGGACUACAUAAAAGGAAGGAAUUGACACUAUUAAUUAUUGAGUUUGGGCAGAGUCAGAGGUAGGCAAUAAGAAAGGGCCCUUUUCAGUAGGUAGUGGCAUAAUCAUUGUUACCUCAGAGGAACAAGUCAAAAGGCAAGGUGAAGGGUAAACUGAAAUGUAGAGAAGAGAUGAAAAUCUGGGUAGCACAGGAGUAGAUAUGAAGGGAGAGGAAAAGCAAAGUGGUAUACCUGUCAAGACAGAAUUGAGAGGACUCAAUAGCUAAUCAGAUGGAUAGGAAAUAUGAAAGAACAAGGAGGAAAGGACUCAGUGAUCCAGCUGCCAGAAGGAAAAGCUGUUGGGACAAGAAUGGUGGUAACCUGAAUAACACUGGUCUAGGGUAAUAUUGCCUUGUGGAGUCCUUCUCCUUAAAACAGGCCUGGUAUGUGGAAAAGCAGACUGGGCCUCUGAGCCACAAAUAGGAUAUCGUGGGGCAAAAAAUGUAAGGAAGGCACAAAGGAAAUUGAUCCACCAUUUGGAGGAGAUGAGAUGCUGUAGGAAUGUGAAGGGUAAGUGGUACCCACUCAGAAAGGGUCUGUCAGGAGCCAAGAUCCUCCUUUUUCUUUACACAGUCCUCUUUGGACAUGCAACCAUGUGAGGUGAACCUGGGAAUGAAUGUUGAGCAAUGUGAGCUCAACAACUACUUCUUUUUGUCCCCAAUUACCAGGCUAGAAAUUCCCAAGUUUCAAAUGCAGAGCCUUCCUCUUCUUUAAAAAUGAACAAACAAGCCUCAGAACUGUCAUAGAAUAGUGUGGGCAUCUUCUGGUGCACAACUUUUUACAUCAGAAUACAGCCUGCCCUGGCAUCUAACUCAUACUGGGUAGGGAAUUCAUCUUUUCUGUGCCUCAAGGCAAAAAGUUGUAUUAUUACUAAAAAUAGUUAACACUUACUAAAUCCACCACUUGUCUGUCAGUUUGUCGUACUGUGGUGGCUUGCACAUUGCUCUGAUGCUGGCAGCUAUGCCACCAGUAUUUCAAAUGCCAGUAGGGUCACCCAUGGUGGACAGGUUUCAGUGGAGCUUCCGGACUAAGAUAGACUAGGAAGAAGGAAUUGGCAGUCUAUUCUGAAAAACUGGCCAGUGAAAACGUUAUGAACAGCAGCAGAACAUUGUCUGAUAAAGUGCCAGAAGAUGAGACCCUCAGGUUGGAAGGCACUCAAAAGAGGAUUGGGGAAGAGCAGCCUCCUCAAAAUCAAUUUGACCUUAAUGAUGUGAAUGGAGUCAAGCUUUUGGGAGGUUCAUCUGAUGAUGUAGAAUGACUCAAAAUGAGAAGAAACAGCUGUAAUCAACCAUUAAUAACCAGAUCAUGGAAUGUGCAAAGUAUGAAUCUAGGAAAAUUGAAGUUGUCAAAAAUGAAAUGGAGCACAUAAACUUUGACACCCUAAGCAUUAGUGAGCUGAAAUGAACUGGUAUUGGCCAUUCUGAAUCAGACAGUCACAUGAUCUACUAUGCUGGGAAUGACAAAUUGAAGAGGAAAGGCAUAACAUUCAUUGUUAAAAAGAACAUUUCAAGAUAUAUCUCAAAGUACCAAGCUGUCAGUGACAGGCUGAUAUCCAUAUGUCUACAAGGAAGAUCAAUUAAUAUGAAUUUUAUUCAAAUUUAUGCACCAAAUACCAAAACCAAAAAUGAAGAAUUGAAGAUUUUUACCAGCUUCUGCAGUCUGAAAUUGAGCAAACAUGCAAUCAAGAUGCAUUGAUAAUUACUGGUGAUUGGAAUGCAAAAGUUGGAAACAAAGAAGGAUUGGUAGUUGGAAAAUAUGGACUUGGUGAUAGAAAUGAUGCCAGAGAUCACAUGAUAGGAUUUUGCAAGACCAAUGAGUUCUUCACUGCAAAGACCUAUUAUCAAUGACAUAAAUGGAGACUAUACACAAGGACUUCACCAGAUGGAAUACAAAGGAAUCAAAUCAAGUAUAUCUGAGGAAAGAGACAAUGGAGAAGCUCAAUAUCAUCAGUCAGAACAAGGCCGGGGUCGACUGUGGAACAGAGCAUCAAAUUUUCCUAUGCGAGUUCAAGUUGAAGCUGAAGAAAAUUAGAACAAAUCCAAGAGAGCCAAAAUAUCAUCCUAAGUAUAUUUCACAGGAAUUUAGAGACCAUCUUAAAAAUAGCUUUGAUGCAUUGAACACUAAUGACCGAAGACCAGACAAGUUGUGGGAUAAUAUCAAGGAUAUCAUACAUGAAAAAAGGAAGAGGUCAUUAAAAAGACAGGAAAGAAAAAAAAAAAAAGACCAAAAUGGAUGUCAGAAGAGACUCUGAAACUUGCUUUUGAACGUAAAGCACCUAAAGUGAAUGGAAGAAAUGAUGAAAUAAAAGAAUAGAAUAUUUCAAAGGUUGACCUGAGAAAGCAAAGUAUUACAAUGAAAUGUGCAAAGACCUGGAGUUAGAGAACUAAAAGGGAAGAACAUGCUUGGAAUUUCUCAAAGUGAAAGAAGUGAAGAAAAUAUUUAAGCCUUGAGUUGCAAUAUUGAAGAAUUGCAGGGAAAAUAUUGAAUGAUGCAGGAAGCAUCAAAAAAAGAUGGAAGGAAUACACAGAGCCACUGUACCAAAAAAAAUUGGUCGAUGUGCAACCAUUUCAGGAGGAAGAAUAUGAUCAAGAACAGAAGGUACAGGAGAAAGAAGUCCAAGCUGCACUGAAGGCAUUGGCGAAAAACAAGGCUCUGGGAAUUGAUGGAACACCAACUGAGAUGUUUCAACAAAGAGAUACAGCAAUGGAGGUGCUCAGUCAUCUAUACCAAGAAAUUUGGAAGACAAAUACCCGGCCACCCGACUGGAAGACAUCCAUCUUUGUACCCAUUCCAAAGAAAGGUGAUCCAACAGAAUGCAGAAAUUAUUGAACAAUAUCAUUAAGAUGUGGUGUUUCAGUGCCCUGUGAAAUGUUUAUAUUUAAAUAUAUUCAUGAGCACUACUAAGAAAAGAAUGAAAAAUAAUGGUAUGGAGAGAUUGCUGACCAAACACUAGAGUAUGCUACACAGUCUUUGAAAAUAUACAGAAUUGGUUUAGAGAUAGAAACAGACAAGUGCCACAAGUUGAGAGAAAUGAUGAUAUAUCAAACCAUUAGGAAAACAUUAAAAAUAAUGCCAGCAUAACUGAUUGUCCACCUGGAAGAAAAUAAAAAUUGACUUCAUACUUAGGCUGUAAUCAAAAAAUUAUCACUGGAUUAAAGUCUUAACAUGUAAUAAGUAAGACUUUAAGAAAAUGUGGAGUAGCUCAUUGGGCCAAAUUUUCUGAAGAUAGCAUAUACAAGCACUGGACCAACAAUCUGAAGACUUUGAAGGGUGAACGAAAGCAGACAGAAACUGCAAAGGAGUCAACCCUAAAUUAAGGGAGCAGCACUGGCUGUGUUUCCCACUGUUACAGCUUUUUGCUAAUGAUCGGCCCUAGUCAAUGUCCAUCAGUCAACAGUAACCUGGAUGGAAACUUGCAGUCUUACAGGUUGAAGAGUCAGAGGAUAGCAUUUUGGUCACCACAGACACUGGAGGACAGGGAAUCCCAGAAAGGAAGAAUCCAAGAAGGAUAGCCCCAAUUCUGUGUAUUUACUUAGCCAACUGAACUACUUAAAAGCUAUUUAGCCAAAUUAACUCUCAAAGAAAUCAACUCGCUUCAGAGCAGCAUAAUUCAAUGUCUCCACAAUGUCUCAUUUACAAUGUCCAGGGUACGAUCCAAAAUUAUUCACAUGAAGAAAGGGAAAAUGUAAGCAACUCUCAGCAUAAAAAUAAAGCAAUGGAGAUCAUCCCUGAGAUGAUCCAGAUGUAUGUACUAGCAGGCUAGGAUUUUGAUUCAGUUAUUAUGACUAUGAUCGAUGACUAAAGGAAAAUAUUUUUAAAUGAAUAAAUAGAUAAGUAAUCUCAUCAAAGAAAUAAAAACUAUUUUAGAAAGAUCAAAAAUUAAUCAUAGAACUAAAACAUAAAUACAUGAAAUAAAAAAUUCACUGGCUCUCCUUAGGAGCAGAUUGGAAAUGAUGGGAGUAAGAAUUAGUAGGGCUGAAGUACUCCCUGUGUGGUGCAAACAGUUAAAAUGCUCAGCUGUUAACCUAAAGGUUGGCAAUUUGAGCCCACCCAGAGGUGCCUCAGAAGAAAGGCCUGGCAAUCUAUGUCUGAAAAACCAACCUUUGAAAACACUAUGGAGCACAGUUCUACUCUGACACAUAUGGGGUCACCAUGAGUCAGAACCAACUCAACAACAACUGGCGAUGAUAAAAUAGAUAAAUAGAAAUGACCUAAUCUGAAAGGAGAGAGGAAAAAGAUUAAAAACAAGGAACAUAGGUACCUGUGGGAAAAUAAGAGGAGAGACAAACUACGGCAUAAAACUUAUCUGAAAAUGGCUGAAAAUUUCUAAAAUUUGGGAAAUGAAAUUAAUCUACAAAUUCAAGAAGCUCAGUGAACUCCAGCACUGUGUUCCCCAUUGUGUUUAUCAAAUCAGACUGCUGAAAAUGAGCAAUUAAGACACACAAAGACACGAAAUAGAAGCGAACAUUACAAAUGACACAUGACUUCUCAGUGGAAAAAGGAGGGCACAAGACAAUGGAAGAGCAACGUUAAAGUGGUAAAGGAGGAAAAAAAAAAACCCUCUAAAUGAAGAGCUCUAUAUCCAAUGAAAAUAAUUCCUAUUAUGAAUGCAAAAUAUUAAAAAAAAUGAAAACAGGAAAUUUAUCAUCUGCACUACCAGGAAACCUAAGGGAACUUAAUAACCCGUUGCCGUCGAGUUGAGUCCGACUCAUAGUGACCCUAUAGGACAGAGUAGAACUGCCCUGUGGAGUUUCCUAGGAGCAGCCUGUGGAUUCCAACUGCCAACCUUUUGGUUAGCAGCCAAGUCCUUAACCACUGUGGCACCAGGGCUCCAAGGAACCUAUUAGGAAUGAGAAAACUGUAUUUCAGUUUAUUUAUGAUCUCCUUUCCUGCUUCAACUACCCUGUCAUUUUAGAGUUCCACAGGUGGAAAACCAGGACCAAGGGUGUUAAAGACGCCUUGCCAUUAGACGUGGUGAGUGUCCUAAACUAAUCAGAGUAAAUUUGAAUCUCUGCAUCCAACCCGUAUAGCAAACUUGUGCCAAUUAGAACAAGGUUCUCUCUCUGGCUAGUCAUCAUCCCGAACACCUACAACUGGAAGAAUGACAGUUCAUGCACUAGGAUUUAGUGAUUUUCUCUUUUUACUCACAGUUACUUUGCAAUUUUGGCAUUCUCUCAAGUAUUACUGAGAGCCAUGUUUUUGUGUAGAAUUUACUUUUCCUUUCUUGUUUUUUCUUAUGGUUUGGGAAGGAAAUCUUUGGAGAAAAGUAGCUAUACUGCCAACAUUAUCCUUAGUAAUCUGGAAGUCCACUGAAGAUUUUCAGGUGCAUUGGCCCGUAUGUCCCUACCUCCAUUUCAGAGUCUAAAACCAACGAGUUGCUGUUGAGUUGAUUCUGACUCCUAGCAACCCUAUGUGUUGCAGAGUAAAAGUGUGCUCCAUAGGGCUUUCGUGUCUGUGACUUUUGGAAGCAGAUCACCAGGCCUUUCUCUGAGAUGCCUCUUGAUGUUCUCAACCCACCAACCUUUUGAUUAGUAGCCUAAUGCUUAACAAUUUAUGACACCCAAGGACUCCUCUCAGGGUCCCACUACUUACUGAUCAGGGUGCUAUCCUUGGCACAGCAGGUCCGUUUAAGUUGAGAAUGAAUUCAACAUCCUCUGUAGCUCUGCUCCUCUUAUAAUUUUGUCCUGGGCUCAGUUCUCAGGAUUUUCUGCUCUCUAGUUCCCGGAGACAAGAAUCUACUAUGCUGCCAAGAAGUCCUCUAGCUUUCAUGCUUUGCCUUUAAGUGGUGAUUAAUCACUCUCAGCUUUUCAUUGGCUUUCUCCAAAGGAUUGAUACCCCAGCUACAUACAUUCAAUUUCAUUAAAAAAUAAAUAAAUAAAAGUUGAACAACCAAAGACUUGGCCACUCCUGCAGAGGGCUGUAGAGCUAGAAUGGACUUUUAGAGUUGUUUCCAAUUGAGGAGAUGGAACUGAGCCUGUACAACCCAAUUCAGCCAGUCAUUGGAUUCAGUUGCCCACUAGAAGGAAGUGUGACAUUAAUCAAUACAGCUGUCUUCAACAGAGAUAAACUUCCAGAGAGUGACUUGGCUGAGACUUCUGGCCUCCAACACCCCAGCAGUAACAAAUGGGGAGGUCUCCACUCCUUCCUUAAGGAAACACCAGUAAUAUCUUACUUAUUAAAAAAAAGAAUUAUUUUACUAUCUCUGUUUGUUUAAUUUUAAAAGCAAAAACCACUCGCUAGAAAAACACGUAGAAUCCAAAAGUGUGUUUCCGCAGAUCGAAUUUUCUGUGUCCACCAGAAAGAGUUCUGGUGGCACCUGCUCUGGGACCAAGUGGACUAGUUCAUGUGUGAGACCCCUCCAAAGCCUGAAACUCUGUUUCCUUGACUUAUCAGGGUGCCUCCAGCCAGCAGGUUUCAUUAGGUCAAGCUGCCCUGAGGGUUCCUCAGCUCCUUGGUGCAAAGCCUUGAGGCUCUCUUGGUGAAACCUGUCCUUACUCCCUUGCCUGCCGUGUAGCCAUGCAUUCCCACCAACACAACCUUAGCCAUCACACUGAAGGUCCUAGAGGUUCCAUAGAGGGAAUGGCAGAGGGGGGCUGAGUGAGGGGCAACUGAGUGGGUGGUUCUCUUGGAGACCAUUACCAGAUUAUUUGAACCUAAGGUUCUGUGGGUGCAAAAAGAAUCCACAUUUUAGAAUAAUGUUGAGAACCUCUGGAUUGGCUUCUGUGAGGGUAUCCUACUGAUACUUCACAUGACUGAGUGGACCGGACUAGGGAAAGGGCAUUAGGACUCAGGGAGGAAAAUGAAAAUAGCAGCAGUCUUAUCCCAGGGGCUUCCUACCCCCUCGCAAUACAACUUCCAUCCCAGGAGGACAGCAGCCCUGGGGACACACUAGGCACUCAGAGAACAUUUUUUUGAUAAAGAACAGAUAAUUAAAUAUGGACUUGUUUUCCCAGAGCUACUUCCUUCCUCCCCAGAUGGCCCAGCUUGAGAGAAAGUGCCACAUGGAAGUCUAAGCAGACUCUGCCCCACGUGCCUCCCAGCUCUGGAAACCUGCCUAAUCACACCUUUCUGCUGUCCCUUCUCUCAGUCCUUGGUGUCCCCAGGUCCAGUUCUCGGGAACUGGUUCUGAGGACUGACUCAUUCCACUUCCCUAGAAUACAAGAAAAAGUCAAGUUUCCUAAACAUAUCAAGAUAUGUCCCAUCUGCUGUGUGCAACUCGGCCAUAAACUGCAUACUCAAGCCUGUGAAGUCAAGAAUUCUUCUCGCCUUCUGGAUUCCUGCCUACCCUUACUCUCCAGCCUUGCUUCCUAAAUGUAUAUGUACCCCUAUUCUGUUUGAAAAAGAAAAAUUAUCCUCCUCUCCUUCUUUGCCCAAGUGUCCUACUCCUCACCACCAAAAAGUUUUCCCUCCCGUCUGUGAUGGGAGCACGAGUUCUUACAUCAUCCUGCAUCCUCCCCUACCCUGUUGCUCAUGGUGCACAUGUUUUCACUGUCACGGAUUGAAUUGUGUCUUCCCAAAAUCUGUGUCCACUUGGUUAGGCCAUGAUUCCCAGUAUUGUGUGGUUGCCUUCCAUUUUGUGAUUGUAAUUUUACGUUAAAGAGGAUUAGGGUGGAAUUGUAACACCCUUACUAAGGUCACAUCCUUGAUCCAAUUUAAAGGGAAUUUCCCUGGGGUGUGGCCUGCACCACCUUUUAUCUUACAAGAGAAAAAGAAAGGGAAGCAAGCAGAGACUUGGGAACCUCACAGCACCAAGAAAGCAGGGCCAGGAGCAGACUGCAUCCUUUGGACCUGGGGUUCUUGCGCAGAGAAGCUCCCUGUCAGAGGGAAGAUUGAGAAGGACCUUCCUCCAGAGCCAACAGAGAGAGAAAGCCUUCCCCUGGAGCUGAUGCCCUGAAUUUGGACUGCUUGCAUACUAGACUGUGAGAAAAUAAAUUUCUCGUUGUUAAAGCCACCCACUUGUGGUAUUUCUUUACAGCAGCACUAGAUGACUAAGACACUGUCCCAAAGUUUUUAUACCCCAUAUUCAAUUCUAUCUUCAAAAUGCUUAUAUGCAGAGAUGGAUUUAUAAAAGUUUAACAACUGACCAAAAAAAGAAAACCCUCAUUUGUAGUAUUUGCCAGUUUCUUUGGUGUAAAUAUUCCCACCAUGGCCAAUUUCAACCUAUUAACAGAUUAGCAAUCAGAUUGAAAAAUUCCUGAAAAUUUGACAGUCGGUUUUCAUGAGCCAGUACAAGGCCACUCCAGCACACCAGUGAGUUAUGUCCAUCAUUGGUAAACCUCACCUCCACCACUAUUUCCUCACCCCAGCCACCAACACCUCUUUCUGGAUCUUUGCUACCCUCUAACUGGCUUCUGUUUCAGUCUUUGCUCCUGAAGAAGCCAUAAUGAUUCUUUGGGAACGUGAGUCAAACUAUGUCAUUCUUCUCUGACGUAUCUGCCUGGGUCACUCCGUCCUUUCUUUCAAGUCUCUGCUAAAAUGUUACUUUAUUAAAGGCACCUUCUGCAAACCACUCUACAUAAAAUAUUAAUCCUCCCACCACCCGGCAUUUCAAGUCCUCUUAAACUGAUUAAUCUUUUGUCAUAGCACUAUUACCAGCUGACAAACUAAAUAAGAGCAGUCUUCAGUUUUCA